UCUACCUUGAUCUACCGUCGAGUAUUACCCUCUGGUAUCUCGAGAAUAUCUAAGAACUGUGUUGCAUAUUAUGAGUCUUCAUCAGCUAUUAUUUCUCACUGAUUCCAAUUUUUCAUGGGUUCUGAGUUGUUAGUCGCUCAAGAACACCGGUAAGUGAACCGAUUCCGCACUCUGGUUCGAUAACUCUAAGUAAUCUUCAUUGCUUAUGAGUUUAAUAAUCCUUCAAGUCAUUCCUAGCCUGAUCGGCUAUAUCAUUAUUGUGCCAAAAAUUUAACUGUGCUACCUGGUCCUUCUUUCCGGAGCACAAUUUUCGAUGAUGAGCUAACCUUACGUCGAUCUUCCUCCUCAUAUAAUUUAGCCUUAAAAACAGCAAGCUUGGUUUCGUGUUUGUGUCGUAUCUGUGGCUCCAAUAAUCUUUUGUUGCAUCAAUCCUUUUGCUUGAUGCAGUCGUUGUUCAAUUGCUUCUUCGUGAAUCCUCUCGACAACAAAUUGUCGUGAUCGUCAUCAACAUUUUGACUCCUUCCAGGAUAUCAAUGAAAUUCUUGAUGAUAAGUGCCAUCCUUGUUCCUUGGCAAUUUGAGUUACCAUCAACAACAUCCUUACCUUCCUUUCAUCACAAACUUGCUCAUGUUAUGGAUGCAACUUGCUAUCCAGCUCGUAUUAUGAUCUACCUUGAAGUAUUACUGCCUUUUUGUCAAGGAUGUUGUGAGAAUUUCACCACCUCUUGAGAAUUCUUGAUAUAAGUGAUACUUCACCAUCACCAUUCUUUUCUUGGUCCCCGUGUUGUUCCUAACAGGAAUUCUGACAAAUGGACUAGUAAUUUUAAAACUUCUAGCAACCUUAUUGCUUUGAAGUUAAUGGUCAACAUUUCAUUCUUAGACCAUUGGUUAUCGAAUCGCCAUUCUAACAUUGUUUGUGCUACCUAAGUCCGUAUUUCUGGUGCACCGUCAACCAAUGUUUAAUCAUGUAUGUCUCCUCGAGCAUACCUAAUUAUAUCAUUUGAACUGACAAAAGCUAUUUCCUUGUUCACAUAAUUGUGGAAAUCCAUCUUUUGGAUAUCUCGAUGAAUUGUCGCUGAGUUCAUCAGUCACCUCCUCAUUCUCUCCUUGAUUUAAUAAUGAACUCGUGAUUCGGAACUUGCUUCCAUAGUUCAUUUACCGAGAAUCUUACAAAGCUGUCUCGUCAAUUUGUGUUGCACCUUUUCUUCUCAGGUAUCCUGAGUAUGAGGUAUCCUGACAUCAAUCUGAACUGAAUCUCAGUCAGAUAUGAUGGUUGGGACAUUUUCCAAAAGUCGUAACAUUGGUCUUUAUGUGACCCGGUAAGGUGAUGUCGUGCCUAGCACACCUGGUCGGAGGCCCUAAUGUUAUAGAUUCCUUUUCAGCGAGGUUAUCCAUUCUUCCAUGAGGAAAUUGUAAGACUUAUUCUAUAAGUUGUCCUUGAUGGAUCCUUUGUGUUUCCAAAGUCCGAUCUUUACCCAAUGACCAUGUCAAUGCUAUCUCGAAGCAUGUCUGUGGUACUCUGAUACGUCUCCAACGUAUCUAUAAUUUUUGAUUGCUCCAUGCUAUAUUAUCUAUUGUUUUGGGCAAUAUUGGGCUUUAUUAUCCACUUUUAUAUUAUUUUUGGGACUAACUUAUUAACCGGAGGCCCAGCCCAGAUUUGUUGUUUUUUUCCUAUUUCAGUGUUUCGAAGAAAAGGAAUAUCAAACGGAGUCGAAACGGAACGAAAUCAACUACAGAAGUUAUUUUUCGAACGAAAGCCACCCGAUGGACUUGGACCCCACGUCAAGGAAGGAACCAGGAAGCCACGAGGGUGGGGGGCGCGCCCACCCCCCUAGGGCGUGCCCCUGCCUCGUGGGGCCCUCGUGGCUCCCCUGACGUACUCCUUUCACCCAUAUAUACCCACUGUCGGGGGACUGAUCCACAAACACCUAUGGGACCGGCGGGCCGAGUCCCUUUCGGUUCGGCGGGGGCGGAGGUCGUGCAAAGAGCGGAUCGAGGCGAAACACACGAGCAGUUACCCAGGUUCGGGCCGCACGGAUGCGUAAAACCCUACUCUUGCUUUGUGGUUUGUGUUGAGUUCUUGCUCGGGAGCGCGGAGUGCUACAGUACACACCAGCAGCUAACGAGACCGAGCGUGAGUGUUCUCCGAACUAGCUAACAGCUAACCCCUCUAUGUUGCGCACGGGCCUCCUUUUAUAUGCUCAAGGGGUCACCGACGGGUGGCAACGGAGACGAAGGGUAAAAAUGGAAAGGUGAUGCGGUAGGUACAGCUACCUGCUACAGUGUAUCAUACCUAACCCUGACGGCAGGGGACAAGGGCAUUAAAUGCCCGUCUGUGUCGCCUAAAUAGUGCAAAAGGGACCGUCAGGGACGCCACUGCUUGCCAUGAUGGCAAUCUUGUCAGCGCCGCUCGCCACUGCGCACCGCUGGCUGCACAGCCUCCCGCCACGCACGCCUGGAAGGGUCCCAGAGCGACACGUUGGUGGAUGCGCUGGAGCGCGGGCACAGAGUGGUGGCUCGCCGCGGCAAGCGCCUUGCCGCGGUCGUUGUCUUGUCGCGUCCGGGAGCUUGUCGCUCACCGGGCCUUGCCGGGACGCGUGGUGCAUCGCGGCAAGCUCCUUGAGGUGCCUUGGUUGGCCUUCCCGGCAAGCUCCUCUUGCCGGGGUCUUGUCUCCUUAAACGCCAUGCCUUGGUUGGCCUUCCCGGCAAGCUCCUCUUGCCGGGGUCUUGUGGUGUCUUGGCUUGAAUACUUUGUUCUUGAAUGGCUCCAAAGGAACCACGGAGGACCGUGGCCGUCACCCGGCAAGCCUUGCCGCGGGAUGCUGUGACUGCCCGUGCACAAGUUCGGGAUACUAGGGUACCCCUACUCUAGUACACCAACAGGAGCCCCCAGGCCUGGGCCAUACACGGUGCCGAGCGCUGUUGGGCCAGGCCCAAAACAGUGCACGGGCACGCGCGGCCUAGGUUACGCCGUAUCUUACUCUUUAUCCGCCGCGCCCUCCCCGAAUGGCACGCGUUGAAUGCGGCGUCGUGGGAGAGAUCAUGGGUGGUUUCUUUAAUUCUUGCUGUUUGUCUUGUAUCUCAUUUGCUUGACUCUGAACUUGUUCCUUUUCAGGAGUCUGGCCCAGAGAGCAGCGAAGAGAGCCAAGGCCCCGGUGAUCGUCAUCGAGGACGAGCCCACUGCGACAGCAGGUGGCGCGCCCGAGACAACCUUGCCAGACCCGGCGACUUUUCUUCAGAGCAGCCCCCAGCGUAAGUGUAUGAUUUGCUUUCCGCUAUGAGGCACGCAUGGAUAUUCUGUCUUUGCUGAUAUCUGACUGCUGACUUGUGUAGGAGUAGAGCAGCCCCACCAGGAGCCAAGGGAGAAUCCCCCGACAAGGGAGAAUUCUCCGGCAAGGGAGGGCUUCCCGGUAAGGGAGAGGUCUCCGGCAAGGGAGAGCGCCAGCGGCCCCCUGACGGUGGAGACCACGACUGCAGAACCCGGCACAGGUACUCCUCUUGCUUCAAGGCUUCCCUUGGGUUCUUCUUCUCUUGAUCUUCUUGGGUUUUUGCUGGAUUUUGAUUGACUCUUCUCCCCUUGCCGACUGUCAGACCCAUCUGCUGCGGAGCAGAUGGAGACCGAGGUUGCCGCUGAAGAAGCGGCCGGCGCUGACGAUCCCGCCGGCGCAGAGGCUGCCAAGGCUGCCGCCGCAGCAACUGGCGAAGGGUCUGGCGAUCGUACUGACGGCCCAGAGGCCGCAGGAGCGCCAGGCGCUACACCGACCGCCGACCCGUCCGCCGCUGCCGCAGCGCCAGGCUCCGAAGAGCCCCAGCCAGGCGUCUACCUGAAGGCCGGCGAAGGCAGUGUUGAUGAAGGUGGCCUUCCGCAAUCCGGGCCUCAUCCUCACCAACGUCCUCAGGACCUUGCCGCCGGAUGCUGAUUUGGAGGCGCUCAAGACCCUUGUCGCACCCAUUGUGGACAAGGUGAGCGGGAUCAAGAGGAUCGAAGGCGAUCGCGUAGAUUAGGCCGCCUAUCUCUUCUUUCCUUGUCGCUGUUUGUCAUGUUAUGAAAACAAUCCGUUAGAGCUGCGACAAGCUAUCUUUGUAAUAUAACUCUAUUCUGGGUAAUGAUUGCAAUGUUAUUCCCUUUACUUGAUUCCUUCCUUUGUAUGUUUUUGCCCUACGCUUUUAGGGAACUUGCCGGUGCAGGCACCUGGGCCGCGAGCGCUGAGUGCGGGACGUCAGCAGCCUGCUGGCGGUGCCGCUACCGACAAGAAACCUUGUCACAACUAGUUGCAGCUCACUUAAGUUGUUGAGCGGACUCGAAACAAAGUAAGGGCGCAACUAGCUACGAGUUGGUUCCUCCGCGCAUAGGUUUUCCAUACAAAGUGUAGUCGCUCAAGGGAGAUAACUUAAAAAAUUUAAAAAUUUGAUUGCUCAAACUUUGGCAACUUAGCUUUUCUGUUGUUUGCUUCUCGGUAAGGCAAAAUUUUCUUGAACGACGCCUGGCCCAUACCAUUAUCUUCUCCUCNNNNNNNNNNNNNNNNNNNNNNNNNNNNNNNNNNNNNNNNNNNNNNNNNNNNNNNNNNNNNNNNNNNNNNNNNNNNNNNNNNNNNNNNNNNNNNNNNNNNNNNNNNNNNNNNNNNNNNNNNNNNNNNNNNNNNNNNNNNNNNNNNNNNNNNNNNNNNNNNNNNNNNNNNNNNNNNNNNNNNNNNNNNNNNNNNNNNNNNNNNNNNNNNNNNNNNNNNNNNNNNNNNNNNNNNNNNNNNNNNNNNNNNCCCCGACAAACUUGUGGGCGAGGGAACCUUCCUUUCCUUGAGAAAAAAGAAAGAAGAGAAAAUAAAGACAUGGAGCCUUACGGCUCGUUAUUGCUUACCGGGGAGUAGGUGCUGCACAAAGUGUCAGAUCAUAUAUGCCAAAAAAUAGAAAGCAUGAAACUGACAAGAUGUGCUGAGCACGUGAGCUUUUUAGGGAACUUGCCAGUGCAGGCACCUUAGCCACGAGCGCUGAGUGCGGAACGUCAGCAGCCUGCUGGCGAUGCUGCUACCGACAAGAAACCUUGUCGCAACUAGUCGCAGCUCACUUAAGUUGUUGAGUGGACUCGAAACAAAGUAAGGGCGUGACUAGUAGGUGCUGCACAAAGUGUCAGAUCACAUAUGCAAAAAAUAGAAAGCAUGAAACUGACAAGAUGUGUGGAGCACAUGAGCUUUACUUAUGUACGGGGUCUGCGCCCGGCUUUGUACAAAGGAUUACAUGCAACAGCGGCAAGACUUGUACAAAAGGUGGUUGCCGGAACAGGUUCCGGCAACCGCGCCUUACGGGUAAAACUUACGAAGAUGCUCAAUGUUCCAGGAGUUGCUCACAGGAAUGCCAUCUUCGGUCUCAAGGCGGACAGCACCAGGCCUAGUGACUCGUUUCACCCGGUAAGGGCCUUCCCACUUCGGCGUCAACUUGUUGGAAUUCUUGGCGGACUGAACGCGCCGAAGAACAAGGUCGCCUUCCUCGAGACUUCUGGCGUUAACUUUGCGGCUAUGAUAGCGGCGCAAAGCUUGCUGGUAGCGAGCAGCUCGCACAGCAGCCUGAAGACGGUCUUCCUCAAGGAGCAGCGCGUCAUCUUGUCGCAGCUGCUCUUGCUCGAGCUCAUCAUAAGCGAGCACUCGAGGUGACCCGUAUAUGAGUUCCGUGGGGAUAACUGCCUCUGCUCCAUAGACUAGAGCGAAAGGUGUCUGGCCAGUGGCUCGAUUUGGCGUCGUUCUGAUCGACCAAAGAACCAUCGGCAGCAAGGACUAAAGGCAAAUUUGCCGCUGCGGGAACAUCCGCUUCCACGGCGAGAGCCUGCGGCUCCGCCGGAGCUUGACGUUCCCCAGCAAGUUUGCCGGAGCAAAACUUGUCGGGAGCUUCUACUUCGACGGAACAAACCUUAGGGUUUGCCGGAGUAGAUUGCUCCUCAGCGCAAGGCAAAUCUGUUGCUGCGGGAACGUCCGCUUCUACGGCGAGAACCUGCGGCUCUGCCGGAGCUUGACGUUCCCUGGCAAGCUUGCCGGAGCAAAACUUGCCGGGAGCUUCUGCUUCGACGGAACAAACCCUAGGGUUUGUUGGAGCAGACUGCUCCUCAGCGCUCUUGGCGUUGAUCUUGGGGACCUUCUUGGCGGCGGCUUCGGGAAGCUCUGCCGGCAAAUAGUCACCAGAAAUCAACUUCCUCUUCUUGCUAUCGUUCAUGAAGAACUUGGCGCUGAUCGCGACGAGCUCGUGGAUCUGAUGACGCGGUGGAGUCACUAUCGAGGUGGAUCCGGCGAGUCGGCGAUCUUGGCCUUCGGGACGGAGAGUGCACAGUGGUUGCACCCCCACCGGUCUUGUCACCACCGGCUCGUGCCUGGCUGACUUGCUGCAGCUGCGACGUGCUUGGCUGCCAUUGGGUGUCGCUGUUGGCGAAGCCGAUGAGAUUCUGAAUGGUGGCCCUCCAGUCGUCGAUCUUGUCCGCCGUUGGAGGGUAGUCUAGGAGCAGUUGAGCUCGCGCCAAAGCUUCUGCUGCAGUGGCGGGUGGCGGUGGCGAACGGUGCGAGGAGCGGGAUAUGCUCGGACUUCUAACUAUGUUAGAAGGAGCAGUGUCCCGUCCAGGCGACCGUGCCUCGCUCGUGCCAGCAUGUUGGUGUGCAUGCUGGUCUUGAGCACUCCGAGAUCCACCAGCUCGAUCUUGGUCCAGCAAACGCAUGGUACCAUGAGUACCAUGACGCUGCCGGUCCCGCGCCUCCUGAGAUGGGCGCGGUGCAUGUACAGACGCCGAGGUCUUGGAGUGCGCCCGGUCGUUGUGGGAGCCGGCUACGCCGCUGACGGGCAGCGCAGCCUUGUCCUUGGACCUGGCAGCACCGUGAGCUCCCUCGUCGACGCCCGUUCUUCCGCCGGCGCCUGCCCCAUCAGCCGUUUGCUCCGGCGAUGGUGGGUUCGGCGCGGACGGAGCAGCCGCCUCCGAAGCCUUCUUCUUCGGCGGCAUGUCGAUGAAGAUGAUGAAGAUCUAGCUCGCGUGAACGCUGGAUCUGGUUCACACAACCUCGACGCCCCUACCUGGCGCGCCAAAGAUGUCGGGGGACGGAUCCACGAACACCUAUGGGACCGGCGGGCCGAGUCCCUUUCGGUUCGGCGGGGGCGGAGGUCGUGCAAAGAGCGGAUCGAGGCGAAACACACGAGCAGUUACCCAGGUUUGGGCCGCACGGAUGCGUAAAACCCUACUCCUGCUUUGUGGUUUGUGUUGAGUUCUUGCUCGGGAGCGCGGAGUGCUACAGUACACACCAGCAGCUAACGAGACCGAGCGUGAGUGUUCUCCGAACUAGCUAACAGCUAACCCCUCUAUGUUGCGCACGGGCCUCCUUUUAUAUGCUCAAGGGGUCACCGACAGGUGGCAACGGAGACGAAGGGUAAAAAUGGAAAGGUGCUGCGGUAGGUACAACUACCUGCUACAGUGUAUCAUACCUAACCCUGACGGCAGGGGACAAGGGCAUUAAAUGCCCGUCUGUGUCGCCUAAACAGUGCAAAAGGGACCGUCAGGGACGCCACUGCUUGCCACGAUGGCAAUCUUGUCAGCGCCGCUCGCCACUGCGCACCGCUGGCUACACAGCCUCCCUCCACGCACGCCUGGAAGGGUCCCAGAGCGACACGUUGGUGGAUGCGCUGGAGCGCAGGCACAGAGUGAUGGCUCGCCGCGGCAAGCGCCUUGCCGCGGUCGUUGUCUUGUCGCGUCCGGGAGCUUGUCGCUCACCGGGCCUUGCCGGGACGCGUGGUGCGUCGCGGCAAGCUCCUUGAGGUGCCUUGGUUGGCCUUCCCGGCAAGCUCCUCUUGCCGGGGUCUUGUCUCCUUAAACGCCAUGCCUUGGUUGGCCUUCCCGGCAAGCUCCUCUUGCCGGGGUCUUGUGGUGUCUUGGCUUGAAUACUUUGUUCUUGAAUGGCUCCAAAGGAACCACGGAGGACCGUGGCGGUCACCCGGCAAGCCUUGCCGCGGGAUGCUGCGACUGCUCGUGCACAAGUUCGGGAUACUAGGGUACCCCUACUCUAGUACACCGACACCCACGUAUCCUAAAACUUCCAGAACAGAGAUUAGAUCGGGAGUUCGGCCGCCGCAAGCCUCUGUAGCCACCAAAAACCAAUCGGGACCCUGUUCUGGCACCCUGCCGGAUGGGGGAACCCUCACCGGUGGCCAUCUUCAUCAUCCCAGCGCUCUCCAUGACGAGGAGGGAGUAGUUCACCCUCGGGGCUGAGGGUAUGUACCAGUAGCUAUGUGUUUGAUCUCUCUCUCUCUCUCGUGUUCUUGAUUUGGCACGAUCUUGAUGUAUCGCGAGCUUUGCUAUUAUAGUUGGAUCUUAUGUUUCUUCUCCCCCUCUUCUCUCUUGUAAUGGAUUGAGUUUUCCCCUUGAAGUAAUCUUAUCGGAUUGAGUCUUUAAAGAUUUGAGAACACUUGAUGUAUGUCUUGCCGUGCGUAUCUGUGGUGACAAUGGGAUAUCACGUGAUUCACUUGAUGUAUGUUUUGGUGAUCAACUUGCGGGUUCCGCCCAUGAACCUAUGCAUAGGGGUUGGCACACGUUUUCGUCGCGAUUCUCCGAUAGAAACUUUGGGGCACUCUUUGAGGUUCUAUGUGUUGGUUGAAUAGAUGGAGAUUGUGUGAUGCAUAUCGUAUAAUCAUACCCACAGAUACUUGAGGUGACAUUGGAGUAUCUAGGUGACAUUAGGGUUUUGAUUGAUUUGUGUCUUAAGGUGCUUACCCAAGCAGGGAACUUUGCCUAUUGGUCCGCCUCGUUCAACGAGCAGGAAAAUAGUGCUCUUCCUCCCUCGCCCUUGGUACCGACGUUGUUGUCGACAUAAUCGAUAGGCUAUUCUCUGACAUGCCUUUCUAUCAUGACCAUGCAAGAUAUCACCGCUCCUACUUUUAACCCACAUGGUGGGCCCAUAACCCACAGUUCCACAGGACCGAAACCUGACUCUCCUAUACACCCCCUGUUUCCAAAGCUAUUCCUCAUGCUUGGCUUCAUAUGUAAUUCACGAGCCACCUUCCCUGUGAUCAUCAUUUCUGGUAUUAGACACAAUACUUAUUCCCGUUGCCUUGAACCCCUUUCACACUCUGUUUCAAGCAACGAACGAUUGUCUAUCCGCUCGAAACUUCUCAUGAUACCUCCUCACUUGCUCUCGAUAAUGUCUAGAGUUUCAAUUCGAGAGUUAAUUCUGCCACCUUCCCUGAUGUUAUCUGCUAGAUAAGCAAACAAUGUAGCGGUCCGUUCUUCCGUAAUACUGAUAACCCACAAAUGUAGGGGAUCGCAACAGCUUUCGAGGGUAGAGUAUUCAACCCAAAUUUAUUGAUUCGACACGAGGGGAGCCAAAGAAUAUUCUCAAGUAUUAGCAACGGAGUUGUUAAUUCAGCCACACCUGGAUAACUUAAUAUCUGCAGCAAAGUGUUUAGUAGCAAAAUAAUAUGAUAGUAGUGGUAACGGUAACAAAAGUAACGGAAGCAAAAGUAAUAUUUUUGGUAUUUUGUAGUGAUUGUAAUAGUAGCAACGGAAGAGUAAAUAAGCGAGAACCAAUAUAGGAAAAGCUCGUAGGCAUUGGAUCAGUGAUGGAUAAUUAUGCCAGAUGCGGUUCAUCAUGUAACGGUCAUAACCUAGGGUGACAUAGAACUAGCUCCAAUUCAUCAAUGUAAUGUAGGCAUGUAUUCCGAAUAUAGUCAUACGUGCUUAUGGAAACGAACUUGCAUGACAUCUUUUGUCCUACCACUAGUAGAAAAAGGGUCAAACGUGAAGCACAUUAGUGCCGGUUUGCAUUAGAGCCGGCACUAAUGUGUACAUUAGUGCCGGUUCGUGGCGGCGAUCAAUAGUACCGGUUCGUGGCGAACCUUUAGUACCGGUUCAUGCCACGAACCGGUACUAAAGAGGUUGUGUAGCCUGCGGUCAGGCUAUGGCCCCACCAUCACCGUUUAGUGCCAGUUCGUACCACGAACCGAUACUAAUGAGGUUAUGGCAAGCUGUUUUUAGUCCCACCUCGCCAAGAGAGGGGCAGUAUGAGCGGUUUAUAAGCCGUGAGUGCACAGACAAUGACGAAGAGUUGCAAUGCUCACCUACAAGUUGAUUAGCUUCAAGCCUUGCGGAAUAGCAUAGAUUGCACUGAGCUAUGUGCAGUGGCUUAGUGCAAUCUAUACUAUUCCGAAUAGCUUGAAGCAAAUUAACCAGCAUUGCACCUCUUUUUUAUUUUUAAUAACUUAUUUAAACUCCGGACUUCUUUUGUGUUCAGUAUACAGCAUUUAAAGCGACGUCAUCAAUUUCCAACAUGCUCUGACAUCAUUUGUUGUUUUUUCGUCAUUUACCUAAUUGUUUAGAGAGCUAAAUGACCGUGAAAUUGAAAAUCACUACAAAAUGAAUCUUGAAAAUGUUGAAACUUGGCAUGGUAUCAUCAUAUCACCCGCAUAGCAUGCGCGAAAGAGUAGAGAGGGUCACGGCAAACACUGGACGCACUUCGUGUACAAACUGGACAUACUCUUUCAGAGUAUUAGGGUUUCGGACGAGAACUUAUCUGUUACAUGGCCACUUCAAUGUUUUUUAAACUUAUUUGAACUCCGGACUUCUUUUGUGUUUAGUAUGCAACAUUUAAAGCGACCUCAUCAAUUUCCAACAUGUUCUGACAUCAUUUGUUGUUUUUCGNNNNNNNNNNNNNNNNNNNNNNNNNNNNNNNNNNNNNNNNNNNNNNNNNNNNNNNNNNNNNNNNNNNNNNNNNNNNNNNNNNNNNNNNNNNNNNNNNNNNNNNNNNNNNNNNNNNNNNNNNNNNNNNNNNNNNNNNNNNNNNNNNNNNNNNNNNNNNNNNNNNNNNNNNNNNNNNNNNNNNNNNNNNNNNNNNNNNNNNNNNNNNNNNNNNNNNNNNNNNNNNNNNNNNNNNNNNNNNNNNNNNNNNNNNNNNNNNNNNNNNNNNNNNNNNNNNNNNNNNNNNNNNNNNNNNNNNNNNNNNNNNNNNNNNNNNNNNNNNNNNNNNNNNNNNNNNNNNNNNNNNNNNNNNNNNNNNNNNNNNCAUAGCAUGCGCGAAAGAGUAGAGAGGGUCACGGCAAAAACUGGACGCACUUCGUGUACAAACUGGACAUACUCUUUCCGAGUAUCAGGGUUUCGGACGAGAACUUAUCUGUUACAUGGCCACUUCAAUGUUUUUUAAACUUAUUUGAACUCCGGACUUCUUUUGUGUUUAGUAUGCAACAUUUAAAGCGACGUCAUCAAUUUCCAACAUGUUCUGACAUCAUUUGUUGUUUUUCGGUCAUUUACCUAAUUGUUUAGAGAGCUAAAUGACCGUGAAAUUGAAAAUCACUACAAAAUGAAUCCUGAAAAUGUUGAAACUUGGCAUGGUAUCAUCAUAUCACCCGCAUAGCAUACGCGAAAGAGUAGAGAGGGUCACGGCAAAAACUGGACACACGCGAAGAAAAAGUUUCACACCCAAAGAUCUGGGAUGUGAUCGGCUUAACUAUCAUCACUUUCUUCUGUGUUUCACACCCAGGAGGGAAUCUCUGUAAUAGUUAGGGUAGCUAGUUAUGUGUUUUGGCAUUUGAAACGCGAAGAAAUUUUAUGUGCAAGCAAAUUCUUUCAUGCAUUUACUGAUUUUUUUUAGCUAAAUGACCCUGAAAUUGAAAAGCAUUUCAAAUGAACUCAAAAAAGGAUGAAAGUUGGCAUGGUAUCAUAAUUUCACCCACAUAGCAUGUGCAAAAAAGUAGAGAGGGUUACCGCAAAAACUGGAUGCACUUCGUGUACAAAAUGGACAAUCUGUUUCGAAGUAUCAGGGUUUCGGACGAAAACUCAUCCGUUACAAAGGCAUUUCAUUUUUUAAAUAACUUAAGCAUUACCAAAUUGAAUAUAAUGAUAAAACACACUAAUAUUAAACAUAAGAAAAAAGAAUCACUGAAAAAUGUAUUUUUAAAGUUAAGUUAUUCACAAACUAGUGAUUCACACAAAUUUUAAAUAGUUCAAAAUUUAAACUAUUCAAAUUUAAAAAGUACCUGCACUAACUGAAAGUUUCUAAAACUAUCAAAAAUAUUCACAAAGAAACUCUAAAUACAGCAAAAAACAACUAAAAAUAAAUAAAACAAAAUAAAUAAAGCAGAAAACAAAAAACUAAAUGAAAAAAGCCCACCUACCGGGCCACAGCGGCCUGCAUACGACUAGAAACCCAACCUGUUGUUGGGCCAGGAUGCAGGCCCGCAAGCCCAAUAGGCCCCACAGGGCAGAGUAGCAGAGGUAGGCCUAGAAGGCCUGCUUUAGAGAGGAGCUCGAGACAGCAGCGGCGGCGGGGCUUAUAAGCAGGUGUGAGCGCCCUUCGGCUAGCGAGGUGGGACUAAACUUCUGCGCCCCUCGCCUGGCAGCACACACCCCUUUAGUACCGGUUGGUGGCUCCAACCGGUACUAAAAGCCUUCCUUUCCCGCCGCUUGGCCUGGCGAAAAUAGGCCUUUAGUACCGGUUGGAGCCACCAACCGGUACUAAAGGCCCAUCCUAUAUAUAUAGCACUUACGAAAAUUUCAGUUUCAUCUCCCCACUUCGUCUCCAACCUCCGCGGCGCGCGCCGCUCAAUCCCGUCGUCGCCGCCCGUCGCCCGUACCGUCGUCCGUCGUCAUCGUCGCUGUCCCCGCCGCCGCCCGUCGUCGUCGUCAUCUCGCGCUGCCGCCCCGAACGCCGCCGCCCCGAACGCCGCCGCCGUCCGUCGUCAUCGCCGCGGCCGUACAUCUCUCUCUCGCUCCCGCGCACACACAUACAUACACACACAUACAUACACACACAUACACACACACACCGGCGCCCCCACUCGUACGUACGGGGCGGCGGCGUAGGGCCACACACACAUAUACCACACACACACGCAUACACACACACAUACACACAUACGUACGUACACACAUAUAUACGUAUAUAUACACACACAUGCAUACACACACACAUUUUUUUUACUUAUUUUCUGUUUUUUAGAAAAGUUAAUUAGAUGAUCGAAUGUUAGAUUAAUGUCGAAUGUUAGAUGAAUUAGCUAGCUACAUAGAAAAAUUGUCGAACUAGAGAUUAGAACUAGUUGAAUAAUUAAUAUAACUAGUUUAUUUUUAGUAAGAAAAUUUAGGUAUAUGAGAUUAGAACUAGUUGAAUAAUUAAUAUAACUAGUUUAUUUUUAGUAAGAAAUUUAGGUAUAUGAGAUUUGAUGAUCUAAUUAAAAUAUUAUUUGUUAAUGAGUUUUUCUGUUUAUUUAAUUUUUUAUAUAUUUUGAGUUUAUAUAAAUGUUAGAUUAAUGUCGAAUGUUAGAUGAAUUAGAUAGAAAAGUUAAAUAUAUAGUAAUGUCAAUUGAAUAUAUAGUUAGAUAUAUUAAUGUCAAAUGUUAGAUGAAUAUAUAUUUGGCUAGAUAUAGGUGUUUAAUGUUUCACCUAUAUGAACAUAGGAAAUGUCAUCUGACGACCAAAAAGAUUUUAUUAUGUGCGAACACUAUGAAGACCAGCGCGGCCUGUGCGACCAAAAUUUCCUUGUUGAUGGUAGGCGCUUCAGCAUCAAGCUGGAUGAGACAUUUGAAGUUGAUACAAUAAGUCACUUUGUCAAUUAUUAUUUGAAUGCACAACUUAUGCUUCAUUUGCUUCAACUUAUAAUUUUAAAUUUUCACUAUUCUACUAGCGCAUCCCCUGCCAUGCAAGAAUUUUUGUCUUGGAUAAGAUAGGUUUUAGUGUUAUAGAUGAUAUGGAGAUAAAGAGAGUUUACUUGAAGACGGAGCAUGGGUAUACUUUCAACGUCAAAUUAUAUAAUAGAGACACAUACACCCAUUUUGAAUGCAAAACUUGGCAAGCACUAUGCAAGGCUUAUGCAUUUGAGCCUGAUAUGGUUAUCACCUUUGAUAUUCGUCCGGAAGAUGAUAUUGAAGGUAAUAUAGACAUCUGGGUUGAUGUGCAAACGCCUCCAGUUCUACCAUUUGGUGAGUUUUUCUCAACCAUGCAUGCAUAUGUUUAUGUCUUUCAUACAGUUUAUUCAAAAAUAGUUGACAACUAAUUUGUAUUGUCAGCUUAUUUCGGUUCAAGCAAACAUGUCCGGUGCUUGGUAGACAGGACCUACUACUGCCCCAGGGCUCAACUAAACUGCGAAGAGAUAAGUCAUUAUGUUUCAUGGCUUGAGGAUCUAAAUACUGUCAAGACAAAUUUUUUUCCUAAACUUAGAAAUGUUAGUACUCAAAACGUGCGACCAAUGGUGAUCGUAUUGAACUACGGUCACAUCUAUAAUCAAAAGAUGGUAAGAUUUUAAAUAUUUGUCCUUAAUUAGUGCAUCUUUUGCAUACAUUAUUUUUGAAGCUAAAAUUUUCAUUGCUUAGUAUAUUAAUUACUAUACGAUGUUGUUCAACAGGGACUUCCGAUGACAGUUGUGCCUCAGUGGAUCGAGACAAAAGGUCGCAUGUCAAUGGUUAGCUUACGACCAAGAUUUCCUACAUUGCACAUGAGUGCAUUCAGGAUUUCUGAAAGCGAAGAAUGCUUAAUAGUGAAAGAUUGGAGCAAAAUUGUUAACGAUCGCAGAGAAGUACUAGGGGGCAGUAAGGAGAAGCGCAACCCAAGAUUAGAAGACAGAUUCAUCUGCAUGCUCCAGUAUGAUGAAUCAGGAGAGCUAUACAUGUUCUAUGCUAUUCUACCUGAGAGGGAGCAGCAUGAUCAGUAGCUACUACUUCAUGCUCUUAAUUAGUACUUGUCUCAUGGAUCCGUGUCCUGAACUUCGAUGUUGGUGAUGAUUAUGUUGAACUUGAUGAUAUCUCUUUGCUUCUGUUACAAAGUGAAUGUUUCCUCUUUAAGCUAGCCAACGUUGAUGAUGAUUACAUAGCUAGCGGUAAUGACUAUGAUGAUUAAAUAGUGGUAAUUAGACGACUACGAUGAUUUUUAGCUAGCUAGAGUUUAUUUAUUUAUUAAUAUGCGAUGAUGAUGAUGAUGAUGAUGACGACUACAACUCAUUAUAACGUAAAACAAUCCUAAAUUAAAUUGAUAACACAAAUUUAAUUGAAAAAUACAAAAUAAAACAAAAACCCACAACCAUUUAGUACCGGUUGGUGUUACCAACCGGUACUAAAGGGCUCCCGGCCCCCGGAGCUGGCUCGUGCCACGUGGUACCCCUUUAGCACCGGUUCGUGCUGAACCGGUACUAAAGGGGGGGGGCUUUAGUGCCGAAACUUUAGUGUCGGUUCCUGAACCGGCACUAAAGGGCCUUACGAACCGGUGCUAUUGCCCGGUUCUGCACUAGUGUACCCUCCCGUGGCAGCGGGGUCCUAAUGGAAACUAAGGGAUAUUAAGGCCUCCUUUUAAUAGAGUACCGGAACAAAGCAUUAGCACAUAGUGAAUACAUGAACUCCUCAAACUAUGGUCAUCACCGGGAGUGGUCCCGAUUAUUGUCACUUCGGGGUUGCCGGAUCAUAACACAUAGUAGGUGACUAUAGACUUGCAAGAUAGGAUCAAGAACACACAUAUAUUCAUGAAAACAUAAUAGGUUUAGAUCUGAAAUCAUGGCACUCGGGCCCUAGUGACAAGCAUUAAGCAUAGCAAAGUCAUAGCAACAUCAAUCUCAUAACAUAGUGGAUACUAGGGAUCAAACCCUAACAAAACUAACUCGAUUACAUGAUAGAUCUCAUCAAACCCAUCACCGUCCAGCAAGCCUACGAUGGAAUUACUCACACACGGCGGUGAGCAUCAUGAAAUUGGUGAUGGAGGAUGGUUGAUGAUGACGACGGUGAUGAAUCCCCCUCUCCGGAGCCCCGAACGGACUCCAGAUCAGCCCUCCCGAGAGGUUUUAGGGCUUGGCGGCGGCUCCGUAUCGUAAAACGCGAUGAUUUCUUCUCCUUGAUUUUUUUCUCCCCGAAAGGAAAUAUAUAGAGUUGGAGUUGGCGUCGGAGGAGCUCCAGGGGGCCCACGAGGUAGGGGGCGCGCCCCCCACCCUCGUGGAUAGGGUGUGGGCCCCCUGGUCUUCAUCUUUGGCAAGGAUUUUUUAUUAUUUUCAACUAGACGUUUCGUGGAGUUUCAGGUCAUUCCGAGAACUUUUGUUUCUGCACAUAAAUAACACCAUGGCAAUUCUGCUGAAAACAGCGUCAGUCCGGGUUAGUUUCAUUCAAAUCAUGCAAGUUAGAGUCCAAAACAAGGGCAAAAGUGUUUGGAAAAGUAGAUACGACAGAGACGUAUCAACUCCCCCCAGUUUAAACCUUUGCUUGUCCUCAAGCAAUUCAGUUGAUAAACUGAAAGUGACAAAGAAAAACUUUUACAAAGUCUGUUUGCUCUUGUUGUUGUAAAUAUGUAAAGCCAGCAUUCAAGUUUUCAGCAAAGAUUAUGACUAACCACAUUUGCAAUAAUUCUCAGGUCUCAUGUUUACUCAUAUCAAUAGCCUAAUCAACUAGCGAGCGAUAAUAAUAAAUCUCGGAUGACAACACUUUCUCAAAACAAUCAUAAUAUGAUAUAAAAAGAUGGUAUCUCGCUAGCCCUUUCUGAGACUGCAAAACAUAAAUGCAGAGCACCUUUAAUGAUCAAGGACUGACUAGACAUUGUAAUUCAUGGUAAAAGAGAUCCAGUCAUACCCAAUAUAAAUUAAUAGUAAUGAAUGCAAAUGACAGCUGCGCUCUCCGGCUAGUGCUUUUAAUAAGAGGGUGAUGACUCAACAUAAAAGUAAAUAGAUAGGCCCUUCGCAAAGGGAAGCAGGGAUUUGUAGAGGUGCCAGGGCUCGAUUUUGAAAUAGAGAUAAAUAAUAUUUUGAGCAGUAUACUUUCAUUGUCAACAUAACAACUAAGAGAUGGCGAUAUCCUCCAUGCUACACACACUAUAGGCGGUUCCCAAACAGAAUGGUAAAGUUUAUACUCCCCCUCCACCAACAAGCAUCAAUCCAUGACUUGCUCGAAACAACGAGUGUCUCCAACUAGCAACAGUCCCAGCGGGAGUUUUGUUUGCAAUUAUUUUCAUUUAGUUUGCAUAAAGCAUGGGACUGGGCAUCCCGGAGACCAGCCAUUUUCUCGUGAGUGAGGAGCGGAGUCCACUCCUCGUGAGAAUAACCCGCCUAACAUGGAAGAUAAGGGCAGCCCUAGUUGAUACAUGAGCUAUUCGAGCAUACAAAACAGAAUGUUUAUUUGAAGGUUUAGAGUUUGGCACAUACAAAUUUACUUGGAACGACAGGUAGAUACCGCAUAUAGGAAGGUAUAGUGGACUCAUAUGGAAUAACUUUGGGGUUUAAGGGAUUGGAUGCACAAGCAGUAUUCCUGCUUAGUACAAGUGAAGGCUAGCAAAAAGACUGGGAAGCGACCAACUAGAGAGCGACAACAGUCAUGAACAUGCAUUAAAAUUAAUAAACAUUGGAUGCAAGCAUGAGUAGGAUAUAAUCCACCAUGAACAUAAAUAUCGUGAAGGCUAUGUUGAUUUGUUUCAACUACAUGUGUGAACAUGUGCCAAGUCAAGUCACUUAAAUCAUUCAAAGGAGGAUACCACCCCACUAUACCACAUCACAACCAUUUUAAUAGCAUGUUGGCACGCAAGGUAAACCAUUAUAACUCAUAGCUAAUCAAGCAUGGCACGAGCAACUAUGAUCUCUAAUUGUCAUUGCAAACAUGUUUAUUCAUAAUAGGCUGAAUCAGGAACGAUGAACUCAUCAUAUUUACAAAAACAAGAAAGGUCGAGUUCAUACCAGCUUUUCUCAUCUCAGUCAGUCCAUCGUAUAUCAUCAUAAUUGCCUUUCACUUGCACGACCGAAUGAUGUGAAUAAUAAUAAGAGUGCACGUGCAUUGGACUAAGCUGGAAUCUGCGAGCAUUCAAUAACACACGAGAAGACAAGGCAAUAUGGUCUCUUGGUUAAAUCAACAAUAAUGCAUAUAAGAGCCACUUCAACAAUUUAAUCAUGGUCUUCUCCUAUCAACCCCCAAAGAAAAGAAAAGAAAUAAAAACUAUUUACCCGGGAAAGUUGUUGGGGAACGUAGCAAUAAUUCAAAAUUUUCCUACGUGUCACCAAGAUCAAUCUAUGGAGUCAUCUAGCAACGAGGGAGGAGUGGAUCUACAUACCCUUGUAGAUCGCGCGCGGAAGCGUUCAAGAGAACGGGGUUGAUGGAGUCGUACUCGUCGUGAUCCAAAUCACCGAUGAUCCUAGCGCCGAACGGACGGCACCUCCGCGUUCAACACACGUACGGAGCAGCGACGUCUCCUCCUUCUCGAUCCAGCAAGGGGGGAGGAGAGGUUAAUGGAUAUCCAGCAGCACGACGGCGUGGUGGUGGAAGUAGCGGGAUUCCAACAGGGCUUCGCCAAGCGCUGCGGGAAGAGGGAGAUGUGUCACGGGAGGGAGAGGGAGGCGCCAGGGCUUAGGUGCGGCUGCCCUCCCUUCCCCCACUAUAUAUAGGGCCAAGGGAGAGGGGGGCAGCCUUGGCCCUUCCUCCAAGGAAGGGUGCGGCUAGGGAGGAGUCCCUCCUCCCCAAGGCACCUAGGAGGUGCCUUCCCCCUUUAGGACUCUUCCUUUCCUUAUCCCUUGGCGCAUGGGCCUCUUGGGGCUGGUGCCCUUGGCCCAUAUAAGCCAAGGCGCACACCCCUACAGCCCAUGUGGCCCCCCGGGGCAGGUGGCCCCACCCGGUGGACCCCCGGGACCCUGUCGGUGGUCCCGGUACAAUACCGGUGACCCCGAAACUUGUCCCGAUGGCCGAAAUAGCACUUCCUAUAUAUAAUUCUUUACCUCCGGACCAUUCCGGAACUCCUCGUGAGGUCCGGGAUCUCAUCCGGAACUCCGAACAACUUUCGGGUUACCGCAUACUAAUAUCUCUAUAACCCUAGCGUCACCGAACCUUAAGUGUGUAGACCCUACGGGUUCGGGAAGCAUGCAGACAUGACCGAGACGUUCUCCGGUCAAUAACCAACAGCGGGAUCUGGAUACCCAUGUUGUUUCCCACAUGUUCCAUGAUGAUCUCAUCGGAUGAACCACGAUGUCGAGGAUUCGAUCAAUCCCGUAUACAAUUCCCUUUGUCUAGCGGUACGAUACUUGCCCGAGAUUCGAUCGUCGGUAUCCCGAUACCUUGUUCAAUCUCGUUACCGGCAAGUCUCUUUACUCGUUCCGUAACACAUCAUCCCGUGAUCAACUCCUUGAUCACAUUGUGCACAUUAUGAUGAUGUCCUACCGAGUGGGCCCAGAGAUACCUCUCCGUCACACGGAGUGACAAAUCCCAGUCUCGAUUCGUGCCAACCCAACAGACACUUUCGGAGAUACCUGUAGUGUACCUUUAUAACCACCCAGUUACGUUGUGACAUUUGGCAUACCCAAAGUAUUCCUACGGUAUCCGGGAGUUGCACAAUCUCAUGGUCUAAGGAAAUGAUACUUGACAUUAGAAAAGCUUUAGCAUACGAACUACACGAUCUAGUGCUAUGCUUAGGAUUGGGUCUUGUCCAUCACAUCAUUCUCAUAAUGAUGUGAUCCCGUUAUCAACGACAUCCAAUGUCCAUGGUUAGGAAACCGUAACCAUCUAUUGAUCAACGAGCUAGUCAACUAGAGGCUUACUAGGGACAUGGUGUUGUCUAUGUAUCCACACAUGUAUCUGAGUUUCCUAUCAAUACAAUUAUAGCAUGGAUAAUAAACGAUUAUCAUGAACAAGGAAAUAUAAUAAUAACUAAUUUCUUAUUGCCUCUAGAGCAUAUUUCCAACAGUCUCCCACUUGCACUAGAGUCGAUAAUCUAGUUCACAUCGCCAUGUGAUUAACACUCAUAGGUCACAUCGCCAUGUGACCAACAUCCAAAGAGUUUACUAGAGUCAAUAAUCUAGUUCACAUCACUAUGUGAUUAACACUCAAUGAGUUCUGGGUUUGAUCAUGUUGCUUGUGAGAGAGGUUUUAGUCAACGGGUCUGCAACAUUCAGAUCCGUAUGUACUUCGCAAAUCUCUAUGUCAUCUUGUAGAUGCAACUACUACGCUAUAUUUGGAGCCAUUUCAAAUAACUGUUCUACUUGGAGCUAUUCCAAAUCGUUGCUCCAUUAUACGUAUCCGGUAUCUCUACUCAGAGCUAUCCGGAUAGAUGUUAAGCUUGCAUCAACGUAACUCUUUACGUCGAACUCUUUAUCACCUCCAUAACCGAGAAACAUUUCCUUAUUCCUCUAAGGAUAAUUUUGACCGCUAUCUGGUGAUCUACUCCUAGAUCACCUUCGUACCCUCUAGCCAGACAUGUGGCAAGGCACACAUCAGGUGCGGUACACAUCAUAGCAUACUAUGGAGCCUAUGUCUAAGCAUAGGGGACAACCUUCGUCCUUUCUCUCUGUUCUGCCAUGGUCGAGCUUUAAGUCUUAACUUCGUACCUUACAACUCAAGAAAGAACUCCUUCUUUGACUGAUCCAUCUUGAACACCUUCAAGAUCAUGUCAAGGUAUGUGCUCAUUUGAAAGUACCAUUAAGCGUUUCGAUCUAUCCAUAUAGAUCUUGAUGCUCAGUGUUCAAGUAGCUUAAUCCAGGCUUUCCAUUGAAAAACACUUUCCAAAUAACCCUAUAUGCUUUCCAGAAAUUCUACAUCAUUUUUGAUCAACAAUAUGUCAACAACAUAUACUCAUCAGAAAUUCUAUAGUGCUCCCACUCACUUCUUUGGAAAUACAAGUUUCUAAUAAACUUUGUAUACACCAAAAUCUUUGAUCAUCUCAUCAAAGCAUACAUUCCAACUCCGAGAUGCUUACUCCAGUCCUUAGAAGGAUUGCUGGAGCUUUGCAUACUUAUUAACAUCUUUCAGGAUUGACAAAACCUUCCGCUUGUAUCACAUACAACCUUUCCUCAAGAAAAUCGUCGAGGAAACAAUGGUUUGACAUCCUAUCUGCAAGAUUUCAUAAAUAAUGCAGUAAUCGCUAAUAUAAUUCCAACAGACUUUUUAGCAUCGCUACGUGUGAGAAAGUAGUCAACUCCUUGAACUUGUCGGGAAACAUCUUAAUGACAAGUAGAGCUUUCUUAAUGGUGACAUUUACCAUCAUUAUCCGUCUUCCUUUUAAAAUCCAUCUAUACUCAACAGCCUAACGACCAUCAAGCCGUUCUGCCAAAGUCUACACUUUGUUUUCAUACAUGGAUCCUCUCUCGGAUUUUAUGGCCUCGAGCCAUUCAUCGGAACCCGGGCCCACCAUCGCUUCUCCAUAGCUCGUAGGUUCAUUGUUGUCUAGCAACAUGACUUCUAAGACAGGAUUACGUACCACUCUGAAGUAGCACGCAUCCUUGUCAUCCCACGAGGUUUGGUAGUGACUUGAUCUGAAGUUUCAUGAUCACUAUCACAAGCUUCCACUUCAAUUGGUGUAGGUGCCACAGGAACAACUUCCUGUGCCCUGCCACACACUAGUUGAAGAGAUGGUUUAAUAACCUCAUCAAGUCUCCACCAUCCUCCCACUCAAUUCUUUCGAGAGAAACUUUUCCUCGAGAAAGGACCCGAUUCUAGAAACAAUCCCUUAUUGCUUUCGGAUCUGAGACAGGAGGUAUACCCAACUGUUUUGGGUGUCCUAUGAAGAUGCAUUUAUCCGCUUUGGGUUCGAGCUUAUCAGCCUGAAACUUUUUCACAUAAGCGUCGCAGCCCCAAACUUUUAAGAAAUGACAGCUUAGGUUUCUCUAAACCAUAGUUCAUACGGUGUCAUCUCAUCGGAAUUACGUGGUGCCCCUUUUAAAGUGAAUGUGGUUGUCUCUAAUGCCUAACCCAUAAACUAUUGUGGUAAUUCGAUAAGAGACAUCAUGGUAUGCAUCAUAUCCAAUAGGGUGCAGUUAUGAUGUUCGGACACACCAUCACACUAUGGUGUUCCAGGCUGUAUCAGUUGUGAAACAAUUUCCACAAUGUCUUAAUUCUGUGCCAAACUCGUAAUUCAGAUAUUCAUCUCUAUGAUCAUAUCAUAGAUACUUUAUCCUCUUGUCACGACGAUCUUUCAACUUCACCCUGAAAUUACUUGAACCUUUCAAUAAUUCAGACUCGUGAUUCAUCAAGUAAAUAUACUCAACAUCUACUCAAAUCAUCUGUGAAGUAAGAACAUAAUGAUAUCCACUACACGCCUCAGCACUCAUUGGACUGCACACAUCAAAAUGUAUUACUUCCAACAAGUUGCUUUCCAGUUCCAUUUUACUGAAACCGAGGCUUUCAGUCAUCUUGCCCAUGUGGUAUGAUUUGCAUGUCUCAAGUGAUUAAAAAAUCAAGUGAGUCCAAACGGUCCAUUUGCAUGGAGUUUCUUCAUGCAUAAACACCAAUAGACAUGGUUCGCAUGUGUCAAACUUUUCAAAAACGAGUGAGCCCAAAGAUCCAUCAACAUGGAGCUUCUUCAUGCGUUUUAUACCGAUAUGACUUAAGUGGCAGUGCCACAAGUAGGUGGUACUAUCAUUACUAUCUUAUAUCUUUUGGCAUGAACAUGUGUAUCACUACAAUCGAGAUUCAAUAAACCAUUCAUUUUAGGCGUAAGACCAUUGAAGGUAUUAUUCAAAUAAACAGAGUAACGAUUAUUCUCCUUAAAUGAAUAACCGUAUUGCGAUAGUCAUAAUCCAAUCAUGUCUAUGCUCAAUGCAAACACCAAAUAACCAUUAUUUAGGUUUAACACCAAUCUCGAUGGUAGAGGGAGCGUGCGAUGCUUGAUCAUAUCAACAUUGGAAACACUUCCAACACAUAUCAUCAGCUCACCUUUAGCUAGUCUCCGUUUAUUCCGUAGCUUUUAUUUCGAGUUACUAACACUUAGCAACUGAACCGGUAUCUAAUACCCUGGUGCUACUAGGAGUACUAGUAAAGUACACAUCAACACAAUGUAUAUCCAAUAUACUUCUAUCGACCUUGCCAGCCUUCUAAUCUACCAAGUAUCUAGGGUAAUUCUGCUCCAGUGGCUGUUCCCCUUAUUACAGAAGCACUUAGUCUCGGGUUUGGGUUCAACUUUGGGUUUCUUCACUAGAGCAGCAGCUAAAUUGCCGUUUCAUGAAGUAUCCCUUCUUGCCCUUGCCCUUCUUGAAACUAGUGGUUUCACCAACCAUCAACAAUUGAUGCUCCUUUUGAUUUCUACUCUCGCGGUGUCAAACAUCGCGAAUAUUUCAAGGAUCCUCAUAUAUGUCCUCGAUUAUAGUUCAUCACGAAGCUCUAGCAGCUUGGUGGUAAUUACUUCGGAGAAACAUCACUGCCUCAUCUGGAAGAUCAACUCCCACUCGAUUCAAAUGAUUGUUGUACUCGGACAAUCUGAGCACAAGCACAACAAUUGAGCUUUUCUCCCUUAGUUUGCAGGCUAAGAAAAUCGUCGGAGGUCUUAUACCCCUUGACGUGGGCACGAGCCUGAAAUCCCAAUUUCAGCCCUCAAAACAUCUCAUAUGUUUCGCGAUGUUUCAAAACCGUCUUCGGUGCCUCAACUCUAAACCGUUUAACUGAACUAUCACGUAGUUAUCAAAAUGUGUAUGUCAGAUGUUCGCAACAUCCACAGACAACGUUCGAGGUUCAGCACACUGAGCGGUGCAUUAAGGACAUAAGCCUUCUAUGAAGCAAUGAGGACAAUCCUCAGUUUACGGACCUAGUCCGCAUAAUUGCUACUAUCAACUUUCAACUAAAUUUUCUCUAGGAACAUAUCUAAACAGUAGAACUAAAGCGUGUGCUACGACAUAAUUUGCGAAGACCUUUCGACUAUGUUCAGGAUAAUUAAGUUCAUCUUAUGAACUCCCACUCAGAUAGACAUCCCUCCAAUCAUCUAAGUGAUUACAUGAUCCGAAUCAACUAGGCCGUGUCCGAUCAUCACGUGAGACGGACUAGUCAACAUCGGUGAACAUCUUCAUGUUGAUCGUAUCUACCAUACGACUCAUGCUCGGCCUUUCGGUCUCUUGUGUUCCGAGGCCAUGUCUGUACAUGCUAGGCUCGUCAAGUCAACCUAAGUGUUUUGCAUGUGUUCCGAGGCCAUGUCUGUACAUGCUAGGCUCGUCAACACCCGUUGUAUGUGAAUCGUAAGAAUCUAUCACACCCGAUCAUCACGUGGUGCUUCGAAACAACGAACUGUCGCAACGGUGCACAGUUAGGGGGAACACUUUCUUGAAAUUAUUAUGAGGGAUCAUCUUAUUUACUACCAUCGUUCUAAGCAAAUAAGAUGUAUAAACAUGAUAAACAUCACAUGCAAUCAAAUAGUGACAUAUAUGGCCAAUAUCAUAUUGCUCCUUUUGAUCUCCAUCUUCGGGGCUCCAUGAUCAUCAUCGUCACCGGCAUGACACCAUGAUCUCCAUCAUCAUGAUCUCCAUCAUCGUGUCUUCAUGAAGUUGUCUCACCAGCUAUUACUUCUACUACUACAGCUAACGGUUAGCAAUAAAGUAAAGUAAUUACAUGACGUUUAUGUUGACACGCAGGUCAUAAAUAAAUUAAGACAACUCUUAUGGCUCCUGCCGGUUGUCAUACUCAUCGACAUGCAAGUCGUGAUUCCUAUUACAAGAACAUGAUCAUCUCAUACAUCACAUAUAUCAUUCAUCACAUCCUUUGGCCAUAUCACAUCACAUAGCAUACCCUGCAAAAACAAGUUAGACGUCCUCGAAUUGUUGUUUGCAUGUUUUACGUGGCUGCUAUGAGUUUCUAGCAAGAACGUUUCUUACCUACGCAAAGACCACAACGUGAUAUGCCAAUUCCUAUUUACCCUUCAUAAGGACCCUUUUCAUCGAAUCCGAUCCGACUAAAGUGGGAGAGACAGACACCCGCCAGCCACCUUAUGCAACUAGUGCAUGUCAGUCGGUGGAACCGGUCUCACGUAAGCGUACGUGUAAGGUUGGUCCGGGCCGCUUCAUCCCACAAUGCCGCUGAAUCAAGAUUGGACUAGUAACGGUAAGCAUAUUGAACAAAAUCAACGCCCAUAACUACUUUGUGUUCUAUUCGUGCAUAGAAUCUACGCAAUAGACCUAGCUCAUGAUGCCACUGUUGGGGAACGUAGCAAUAAUUCAAAAUUUUCCUAUGUGUCACCAAGAUCAAUCUAUGGAGUCAUCUAGCAACGAGGGAGGAGUGGAUCUACAUACCCUUGUAGAUCGCGUGCGGAAGCGUUCAAGAGAACGGGGUUGAUGGAGUCGUACUCGUCGUGAUCCAAAUCACCGAUGAUCCUAGCGCCGAACGGACGGCACCUCCGCGUUCAACACACGUACGGAGCAGCGACGUCUCCUCCUUCUUGAUCCAGCAAGGGGGAAGGAGAGGUUAAUGGAUAUCCAGCAGCACGACGGCGUGGUGGUGGAAGUAGCGGGAUUCCAACAGGGCUUCGCCAAGCGCUGCGGGAAGAGGGAGAUGUGUCACAGGAGGGAGAGGGAGGCGCCAGGGCUUAGGUGCGGCUGCCCUCCCUUCCCCCACUAUAUAUAGGGCCAAGGGAGAGGGGGGCGCAGCCUUGGCCCUUCCUCCAAGGAAGGGUGCGGCUAGGGAGGAGUCCCUCCUCCCCAAGGCACCUAGGAGGUGCCUUCCCCCUUUAGGACUCUUCCUUUCCUUAUCCCUUGGCGCAUGGGCCUCUUGGGGCUGGUGCCCUUAGCCCAUAUAGGCCAAGGCGCACACCCCUACAGCCCAUGUGGCCCCCCGGGGCAGGUGGCCCCACCCGGUGGACCCCCGGGACCCUUCCGGUGGUCCCGGUACAAUACCGGUGACCCCGAAACUUGUCCCGAUGGCCGAAAUAGCACUUCCUAUAUAUAAUUCUUUACCUCCGGACCAUUCCGGAACUCCUCAUGACGUCCGGGAUCUCAUACGGGACUCCAAACAACUUUCGGGUUACCGCAUACUAAUAUCUCUAUAACCCUAGCGUCACCGAACCUUAAGUGUGUAGACCCUACGGGUUCGGGAAGCAUGCAGACAUGACCGAGACGUUCUCCGAUCAAUAACCAACAGCGGGAUCUGGAUACCCAUGUUGGUUCCCACAUGUUCCACGAUGAUCUCAUCGGAUGAACCACGAUGUCGAGGAUUCGAUCAAUCCCGUAUACAAUUCCCUUUGUCUAGCAGUACGAUACUUGCCCGAGAUUCGAUCGUCGGUAUCCCGAUACCUUGUUCAAUCUCGUUACCGGCAAGUCUCUUUACUCGUUCCGUAACACAUCAUCCCGUGAUCAACUCCUUGAUCACAUUGUGCACAUUAUGAUGAUGUCCUACCGAGUGGGCCCAGAGAUACCUCUCCGUCACACGGAGUGACAAAUCCCAGUCUCGAUUCGUGCCAACCCAACAGACACUUUCGGAGAUACCUGUAGUGUACCUUUAUAGCCACCUAGUUACGUUGUGACGUUUGGCAUACCCAAAGUAUUACUACGGUAUCCGGGAGUUGCACAAUCUCAUGGUCUAAGGAAAUGAUACUUGACAUUAGAAAAGCUUUAGCAUACGAACUACACGAUCUAGUGCUAUGCUUAGGAUUGGGUCUUGUCCAUCACAUCAUUCUCCUAAUGAUGUGAUCCCGUUAUCAACGACAUCCAAUGUCCAUGGUUAGGAAACCGUAACCAUCUAUUGAUCAAUGAGCUAGUCAACUAGAGGCUUACUAGGGACAUGGUGUUGUCUAUGUAUCCACACAUGUAUCUGAGUUUCCUAUCAAUACAAUUAUAGCAUGGAUAAUAAACGAUUAUCAUGAACAAGGAAAUAUAAUAAUAACUAAUUUGUUAUUGCCUCUAGAGCAUAUUUCCAACAAAAGCUCCCAACAAGCAAAAGAAGAACGGGAAAUCUUUUUGGGUUUUCUCUUAAUUAUUACUACUACAACAAGAAAAGUAAACUACUACUAUUUUUUUUGGUUUUCUUAAAGUUUAACAAACACACAAGAAGAAAGCAAGAAAAAGAAAAUAAACUAGCAUGGUUAUUACAGUGAAAGAGUAUGAGCACCGACAUCUAGCAAUGAGUGUGUAAACAUAAAUGUAAUGUCGGUGAGAAAUACGUACUCCCCCAAGCUUAGGCUUUUGGCCUAAGUUGGUUCAUUGCCAGGGAUGGCCUGGCGGAUAUCCGUAGUUGUAGCUGGGGUCAUACUGCGAUGAAGAGGACUCUGACUGCCACUGGCUGGCAGCCACCUCCGGAUCCCAAAAGUAAUCAGACUAUCGUGGAGGCUCAAAUUGUGGCUCCAGCUCCGGGGCUGGUGUAGGGUUCCGGUAAGCUUGAAUGGCAGCCCACGGAACGAGAUAAGGACCUUCAGAUAAAUCAAACAAGGAAGGAGCAGGCAAAGUAAUAGUCUCAGGGUGAUGUUUAUGAAAGAACAAUUUGUAUUUAAGCUCCCCUUCCCGGCCCUUAACAAUAAAGUCAUGCGCUAGCAUACUCUUAUAAUCUAGAUAAGCAUUGGGCAGCAAUUUUUCUUCUUUCUCAUAAAGUCUAAUAGGUAUGUUAAAAUGUGCAGCUAGGCGCGAAGCAUAAAUACCUCCAAAGAUGGGGCCCUUUGUACGGUUCAAACUUAACCGUUUAGCAAUAAUUCUGCCCAUACUAACAGUGCUAUCACAGAAUAAACCAUGGAACAAAAUGAUAAUAUCAAGAACACUAAGGUUUCCACAGUUUCCGCGACCAAUCAAGCAACGACUAGAAAAUAUGGCAAAGUAGCGUAAAACAGGAAAAUGUAUGCUAGUGAUUCUUGCAUCGGAAACCCUCCUGGUUUCUCCCACAGUGAUGGUGUCAAUAAAUUCUUCCACAUUUUACGGUGUGGUUCAUCUAAGGUACCCUUAAAGGGUAUUUUGCAAACCUUGCAAAAUUCAGCUAAUGGCAUCUUCUUAACAACAUCAUAUAAAUGAAACUCUACUGAAGGAGGUGAUUCCUUAGGAAAAUAGUAGAAGUUUUGCACAAAAGUAUUAGUGAGUAAGAGAUACUGAUGACAUUGGUCGCGGAGGAAGUCGGUGAGGCCAGCAUUCUCAGCUAAUGAAUAGAAAUCUUCAUAAAUUCCGGCUGCUCUCAAGAAAUCAUCGGAAGGCCAUUCACACGGCCGGAUCUCCGCGGUACGAGGCAAAUUAAAUUUGGGCCUCUGUGCUUCUUCAUUUUGCUUUUCCUUCGAGCUUCGACUCGAUGAGCCCCUCAAAAGUCUCUUCGUCAUUUUCUGAAAUAUUCUGAAAUUUUUAGUAACUUCAAACAAAAGUGAACCAAGCUCAACAAAAUUGAUAGCAACUACUCCUACAAGUGCCUAGAGCCUAUAUCAAGCAUUAGAACUAAUUGGAACCAUAUAAAUUUGACAUACAAGCUCAAGAACAUGGUCACCUAGGCAGCACAAAUUUGCAAUGAAUAAAGCACUAGAACAAAAACUAAUUGGACCAAUGGAGGAGUCACAUACCAAGGAACAAUCUCCCCAAGCAGUUUUGUGAGAGGUGCUUUGAGCAAGGAGAUCGAAAAUCGCAGCAAAGUGAGCUAGAACUCGUGCUUGAGCUGGAUAUUCGUGUUUGUGGGAGGAAGAAGAACUGUAUGGGUGCAGGAAUAAGUGGGGGAGGGCCACCGUGGGCCCAUGAGGCAGGGGGCGCGCCCUGUGCCCAGGUGGUUGACCCCCCUACUGUGUUCUCAGUUCCAUAAUUCCUCAAAUAUUCUAGAAAAAAUCAUAUUUCAUUUUCAGGGCAUUUGGAGAACUUUUAUUUUCGGGGUAUUUUUAUAUUGCACGGAUAAAUCAGGAAACAGACAGAAAAAUACUAUUUUUACUUUAUUUAAACUAAAUAAUAGAAAGUAGAAAGAGGGUACAGAAGGUUGUGCUUCUAGUUUCAUCCAUCUCAUGCUCAUCAAAAGGAAUCCACUAACAAGGUUGAUCAGGUCUUGUUAACAAACCCAUUCCCAUUAACAUGGAACCGGAGAAAUUUCGAAUAACACUAUGUUACCUCAACGGGGAUAUGCACAUCCCCAAUAACAAGAAUAUCAUAUUUCUUCUUAACAGUAGGAAGAGGAAAUUCAAAACCUCCAAAUAUAAUCGAUGGAAUUUUUCCAAUAGAGUUGAUACUAUGAACUUGAGGUUGUUUCCUCGAAAAGUGUACCGUAUGCUCAUUGCAAUUACCAUGAAAAGUGACAUUGCCUUUGUUGCAAUCAAUAACAGCCCCUGCAGUAUUCAAAAAGGGUCUUCCAAGAAUAAUAGACAUACUAUCAUCCUCGGGAAUAUCAAGAAUAACAAAGUCCGUUAAAAUAGUAACGUUUGCAACCACAACAGGCACAUCCUCACAAAUACCGACAGGUAUAGCAGUUGAUUUAUCAGCCAUUUACAAAGAUAUUUCAGUAGGUGUCAACUUAUUCAAAUCAAGUCUGCGAUAUAAAGAGAGAGGCAUAACACUGACACCGGCUCCAAGAUCACAUAAAGCAGUUUUAACAUAAUUUCUUUUAAUGGAGCAUGGUAUAGUAGGUACUCCUGGAUCUCCAAGUUUCUUUGGUAUUCCACCCUUAAAAGUAUAAUUAGCAAGCAUGGUGGAAAUUUCAGCUUCCGGUAUCUUUUUUUAUUAGUGACAAUAUCCUUCAUAUACUUAGCAUAAGGAUUCAUUUUGAGCAUAUCAGUUAAUCGCAUACGCAAAAAGAUAGGUCUAAUCAUUUCAGUAAAGCGCUCAAAAUCAUCAUCAUCCUUUUUAUUGGAUGGUUUGGGAGGAAAAGGCAUGGGUUUCUGAACCCAUGGUUCUCUUUCUUUACCAUGUUUCCUAGCAACAAAGUCUCUCUUAUCAUAACGUUGAUUCUUUGAUUGUGGGUUAUCAAGAUCAACAACAGGUUCAAUUUCUACAUCAUUAUCAUUACUAGGUUGAGCAUCAUCAUUAACAUUUUCACUAGGUUCAUGUUCAUUACCAGAUUGUGUUUCAGCAUCAGAGAUAGAUAUAUCAUUUGGAUUCUCAGGUGGUUUAGCAAUAGGUUCACUAGAAGUUUGCAAAGUCCUAUCUUUUUUUCUUCCUUUUAGAAGAACUAGGUACAUCAGUAUUAUUUCUCUGAGAAUCUUGCUCAAUUCUCUUAGGGUGGCCUUCAGGAUACAAAGGUUCCUGAGUCAUUCUACCAGUUCUAGUAGCCACUCUAACAGCAUAAUCAUUUUUCUUACUAUUCAUUUCAUUGAGCAAAUCAUUUUGAGCCUUAAGUACUUGUCUAAUUGAGUGGUAACCAUAGAAGCAUGCUUGCUAAUGAGUUUAAGUUCACCUCUAACAUUAGCCAUAUAAUCACCCAAGUGUUUAAUCAUAUAAGUAUUUUGUUUUAAUUGUCUACCAAAGUAAGCAUUGAAAUUUUCUUGUUUGACAAUAAAAUUAUCAAACUCUUCUAAGCAUUGUCUAGCAGACUUAUAGUAAGGAAUAUCACCUUCAUCAAAUCUAUAGAGAGAAUUUACCUUUACUACCUGUGUCGGGUUAUCAAGACCUCGAGGUUCUUCAAUAGGUAAUGGAUUAAGAUCAUAUGUUUCUUCAACAGGCAGUAAAUUAAGACCAUGUAUUUCUUCAAUAGGAGGUAAAUUCUUAACAUCUUCAGCUUUAAUACCUUUUUCUUUCAUAGAUUUCUUUGCCUCUUGCAUAUCUUCAGGACUGAGAAAUAGAACACCUCUCUUCUUCGGAGUUGGUUUAGGAAUAGGCUCAGUAAUUGGAGCAGGAGCUGGCUCAGGAGCUGGCUCAGGGGGUGCCCAAUUAUUUUCAUUUGUCAACAUAUUAUUCAAUAGAAUUUCAGCUUCAUCCGGUGUUAUUUCCCUGAAAACAGAACCAACACAACUAUCCAGGUAAUCUCUGGAAGCAUCGGUUAGUCCAUUAUAAAAGAUAUCAAGUAUUUCAUUUUUCUUAAGAGGAUGAUCAGGCAAAGCAUUAAGUAACUUGAGAAGCCUCCCCCAAGCUUGUGGGAGACUCUCUUCUUCAAUUUGCACAAAGUUGUAUAUUUCCCUCAAAGCAGCUUGUUUCUUAUGAGCAGGGAAAUAUUUAGCAAAGAAGUAAUAAAUCAUAUCCUGGGGACUACGCACACAACCAGGAUUAAGAGAAUUAAACCAUAUCUUAGCAUCACCCUUUAAUGAGAACGGAAAUAUUUUAAGGAUAUAAAAGUAGCAAGAUCUCUCAUCAUUAGUGAACAGGGUGGCUAUAUCAUUUAAUUUAGUAAGAUGUGCCACAACAGUUUCAGAUUCAUAACCAUGAAAAGGAUCAGAUUCAACCAAAGUAAUUAUAUCAGGAUCAACAGAGAAUUCAUAAUCCUUAUCGGCAACACAAAUAGGUGAAGUAGCAAAAGCAGGGUCAGGUUUCAUUCUAUCUUUAAGGGAUUGCUUAUUCCAUUCAACUAAUAACCUCUUGAGCUCAGAUCUAUCUUUACAAGCUAAAAUAGCUGCAGAAGCUUCCAUAUCAAAAACAUAACCCUCAGGAAUAACAGGCCUAUCUUCAUCAUCACUUUCAUCAAUAUAAUCAGUUUCAAUAAUUUCUUUCUAUCUAGCCCUAGCAAUUUGUUCAUCAAGAAAUUCACUAAGGGGUACAGUAGUAUUAAGCAUAGAAGUAGUUUCAUCAUAAGUAUCAUGCAUAGCAGAAGUGGCAUCAUCAAUAACAUGCGACAUAUCAGAACGAAUAGCAGAAGCAGGUUUGGGUGUCGCAAGCUUACUCAAAACAGAAGGUGAAUCAAGUGCAGAGCUAGAUGGCAGUUCCUUACCUCCCCUCGUAGUUGAGGGAUAAAUUGUUGUCUUAGCAUCUUUCAAGUUCUUCAUAGUGUCCAGCAGAUAUAAAUCCCAAGUGACUCAAAGAAUAGAGCUAUGCUCCCCGGCAACGGCGCCAGAAAUUAGUCUUGAUAACAAACAAGUGUAGGGGAUCGCAACAGCUUUCGAGGGUAGAGUAUUCAACCCAAAUUUAUUGAUUCGACACAAGGGGAGCCAAAGAAUAUUCUCAAGUAUUAGCAACUGAAUUGUCAAUUCAGCCACACCUGGAUAACUUAAUAUCUGCAGCAAAGUGUUUAGUAGCAAAGUAAUAUGAUUGUAGUGGUAACGUUAACAAAAGUAACGGAAGCAAAAGUAAUAUUUUUGGUAUUUUGUAGUGAUUGUAACAGUAGCAACGGAAGAGUAAAUAAGCGAGAACCAAUAUAGGAAAAGCUCGUAGGCAUUGGAUCGGUGAUGGAUAAUUAUGCCGGAUGCGGUUCAUCAUGUAACAGUCAUAACCUAGGGUGACAUAGAACUAGCUCCAAUUCAUCAAUGUAAUGUAGGCAUGUAUUCCGAAUAUAGUCAUACGUGCUUAUGGAAAAGAACUUGCAUGACAUCUUUUGUCCUACCCUCCCGUGGCAGCGGGGUCCUAAUGGAAACUAAGGGAUAUUAAAGGCCUCCUUUUAAUAGAGUACCGGAACAAAGCAUUAGCACAUAGUGAAUACAUGAACUCCUCAAACUAUGGUCAUCAUCGGGAGUGGUCCCGAUUAUUGUCACUUCGGGGUUGCCGGAUCAUAACACAUAGUAGGUGACUAUAGACUUGCAAGAUAGGAUCAAGAACACACAUAUAUUCAUGAAAACAUAAUAGGUUCAGAUCUGAAAUCAUGGCACUCGGGCCCUAGUGACAAGCAUUAAGCAUAGCAAAGUCAUAGCAACAUCAAUCUCAAAACAUAGUGGAUACUAGGGAUUAAACCCUAACAAAACUAACUCGAUUACAUGAUAGAUCUCAUCCAACCCAUCACCGUCCAGCAAGCCUACGAUGGAAUUACUCACACACGGCGGUGAGCAUCAUGAAAUUGGUGAUGGAGGAUGGUUGAUGAUGACGACGGCGACGAAUCCCCCUCUCCGGAGCCCCGAAUGGACUCUAGAUCAGCCCUCCCGAGAGGUUUUAGGGCUUGGUGGUGGCUCCGUAUCGUAAAACGUGAUGAUUUAUUCUCCUUGAUUUUUUUCUCCCCGAAAGCAAAUAUAUAAAGUUGGAGUUGGCGUCGGAGGAGCUCUAGGGGGCCCACGAGGUAGGGGCGUGCCCCCUCGUGGACAGGGUGUGGGCCCCCUGGUCUUCAUCUUUGGCAAGGAUUUUUUAUUAUUUUCAACUAGACGUUCUGUGGAGUUUCAGGUCAUUCUGAUAACUUUUGUUUCUGCACAUAAAUAACACCAUGGCAAUUCUGCUGAAAACAGCAUCAGUCUGGGUUAGUUUCAUUCAACUCAUGCAAGUUAGAGUCCAAAACAAGGGCAAAGGUGUUUGGAAAAGUAGAUACGACGGAGACAUAUCAAAUACCCCCUUAUCCUUUCGUAAGUACAAUGGAGUUCCCGAAGGGAGACAACUUCAUCAUGAUGCAUUGGAAUAAAGAAUUGAAGAUAUCAACGAAAGGGAUUAACUUCUUCGAGAAGAUCCGUUAGAAUAUCGUAACCAGAACUUUCCCCCUUACUCCCCUCUUAAAUCUCGGGACGAGAUUUCUUCUAGUGGAGGAGAACUUUGACGCCCAGAUAUUUAAUCUACAGUGAACCUCUGCUCAUGAUGCCACGCCACCUCGAUUUUUGUUGCUAAUCUCGCAUUAGUUCGAAGCCAAUUCAAAUUCAAAAUUCAAAAUCAAGCAAACAAUAAGACUUUUCAAAUAUUAAAACUAAAAUGUUCAAUAAAUAGUAGGUAAAUCAGAGGCUAUGAUAACAUUGUAAACAACAUUAAUGAAAUUUGAUAAGUGACUUAAACAACCUCAAACAGUGGCUGAAAACAUUAUUUAAUAACUUUUUUAUUAAUAAAAAAUAAAAAUGAAAUGAUAUUUACACCAAACUAGUUUUUGGUGGUAGGAUAUAUUGUGCUGUGAUUUGUGGGCCAGCUCUCAUAUUUUACAAAACUCAUUUGGUGCCCAAACAAUUAGCCAAAACAAAAAUAAAAUAAAAUAAAAUAAGAAAAAGUAAAACAAAACAAAACAAGAUACAAAAGAGAAAAGCGAAAAAGGAAAAAACCCACUGGGAUCUGACCCACCAGGCCGGCCCACCUGGCCUAGGUCGCCCCCACUCACUCCCUUAUCCCCACGCAACCGCAAACCCUAACCCCCUGUCGCCCCAUUCCUCCCCCCCCCACGACGGGGGAACGACCCGCCGCCGCUGCCGCCCGAGGACCUCACCGGACCUCCCCACGGGCCUGCCUCCCCUGCGUACGGCGUCUCCGACUUCCUCCUCGAGCCCCUCUGCCCCGUUCCCUACAAACCCCGUGAGGCCUCACCCCUCUCCACUCUCCUCUGUCUCGCUUCCGCCCGACGCGCGCCCNNNNNNNNNNNNNNNNNNNNNNNNNNNNNNNNNNNNNNNNNNNNNNNNNNNNNNNNNNNNNNNNNNNNNNNNNNNNNNNNNNNNNNNNNNNNNNNNNNNNNNNNNNNNNNNNNNNNNNNNNNNNNNNNNNNNNNNNNNNNNNNNNNNNNNNNNNNNNNNNNNNNNNNNNNNNNNNNNNNNNNNNNNNNNNNNNNNNNNNNNNNNNNNNNNNNNNNNNNNNNNNNNNNNNNNNNNNNNNNNNNNNNNNNNNNNNNNNNNNNNNNNNNNNNNNNNNNNNNNNNNNNNNNNNNNNNNNNNNNNNNNNNNNNNNNNNNNNNNNNNNNNNNNNNNNNNNNNNNNNNNNNNNNNNNNNNNNNNNNNNNNNNNNNNNNNNNNNNNNNNNNNNNNNNNNNNNNNNNNNNNNNNNNNNNNNNNNNNNNNNNNNNNNNNNNNNNNNNNNNNNNNNNNNNNNNNNNNNNNNNNNGCUCCCCUCGUCGCCUACACCGUCACCUCCCGCCGGCGAGCACACGCCCUGGGCUCGCCGAGCCUCCCCCCGUUGUCCGCGCUGGUGCCAGCGGGCGGGCGCCCGCUGCGCCAUAUCAGGCGGCGCCCGACGCCCGCUACCGCCCGCUACCGCCCGAACCGCUAUGGCCCCUCUGGCCCACAGACAUGUGGGGCCUAGCCCCAGAACAUUAUAAAAAGAGAAUUAAAAAUAAAUAAAUAAAUAAAUAAUCAAAAUAAUUAAAAUAUUAAUUAAUUAACUUAAUUAAUCCUGAUAAGAUUAGCCUAAUUAACCAAUUAGCCUAAUUAACUAUUGUUAAUUAACUAAUAGUGUAUGACAUGCGGGACCCACACGUCAGCGACCGAGUCAACACCUCUGUUGACUGCUAACGUCAGCACGCACUAUUCUGGAUCAUGUUGAUUUAUAAUAAUUAAAUAAAUCCUAAAAAUGAUUUAAAUCUUUUAAAAUUAAUAUAAAAUAAACCGUAGCUCGGAUGGACAAACUUUUUGCAUGAAAGUUGCUCACAACGACGAGACAAAUCCAAAUACGCAGCUCGUUCGUCCGCCACACAUCCCUACCAUAGCGAACACGCAACUUUUCCCCUCCGGUUCGUCUCUCCGAAAAUGCGAAACUUCGGGGAUACUUUCCCGGAUGUUUCCCCCCUUCGCCGGUAUCACCUAAUACCGUGUUAGCGCAUACCUAGCACCGCGUAUUACCUUGUUAUGUUUUGUGAUGCUUUGUUUGCUCCGUAUUUACUAUUUCUCCCCCCUCUUCUUCUCCGAUAGACACCGAGACCGUUGCUGAUGCCACUGAGUUCGACUACGUUGUUGACAACCCCUCCUUGCCAGAGCAACCAGGCAAGCCCCCCCUUUGAUCACCAUAUAUCGCCUAUUCCUUCUCUCUACUGCUUGCAUUAGAGUAGUGUAGCAUGUUACUGCUUUCGGUUAAUCCUAUUCUACUGCAUAGCCUGUCAUUAUUGAUACAGUUUUUACCCUUACCUGCUAUCCUAAUGCUUAGUAUAGGAUGCUAGUGUUCCAACAGUGGCCCUACACUCUUGUCCGUCUACCAUGCUAUACUACUGGGCCGUGAUCACUUCGGGAGGUGAUCACGAGCAUAUGCUAUAUACUUUAUACUGUUACCUUACUAUGAUACUGUUCGGAGAUGGGGGCUGAAGGGGCAGGUGGCUCCAUCCCGGUAGAGGUGGGCCUGGGUUCCCGACGGCCCCCGACUGUUACUUUUUGGUGGAGCGACAGGGCAGGUUGAGACCACCUAGGAGAGAGGUGGGCCUGGCCCUGGUCGGCGUUCGCGGAUACUUCAAUUAACAUGCUUAACGAGAUCUUGGUAUUUGAUCUGAGUCCGGCCACUAGCCUAUAUGCACUAACCAACUACGCGGGAACAGUUAUGGGCACUCGGCGUCGUGGUAUCAGCCGAAGCCUUCGUGACGUCAACGACUGAGCGGUGUGUGCCGGAUUGGACUGGAACGCCUGCUAGGCUAGGUCUGCUUCCGGCCGCCCUCGCAACGUGCAGGUGUGCAAUGGGAGAUGGGCCUAGACCCCUGCGCCAUAGGAUUUAGACCGGCGUGCUGACCUCUCUGUUGUGCCUAGGUGGUGCUGCGACGUGUUGAUCUUCCGAGGCCGGGCAUGACCCAGGAAAGUGUGUCCGGCCAAAUGGGAUCGAGCGUGUUGGGAAAUGUGGUGCACCCCUGCAAGGGAGUUUAUCUAUUCGAAUAGCCGUGAUCUUCGGUAAUAGGAUGACUUGGAGUUGUACCUUGACCUUAUGACAACUAGAACCGAAUACUUAAAAAAAAACACCCUUCCAAGUGCCAGAUACAACCCGGUGAUCGCUCUCUAGCAGGGCGACGAGGAGGGGAUCGCCGGGUAGGAUUAUGCUAUGCGAUGCUACUUGGUGGACUUGCCAUCUACUCUCUCCUACAUGCUGCAAGAUGGAGGUGGCCAGAAGCGUAGUCUUCGACAUGAUUAGCUAUCCCCCUCUUAUUCUGGCAUUCUGCAGUUCAGUCCACCGAUAUGGCCCUUUACACAUAUACCCAUGCAUAUGUAGUGUAGCUCCUUGCUUGCGAGUACUUUGGAUGAGUACUCACAGUUGUUUUUCUUCCUAUUUUCCCCCUUUACCUUCUACCUGGUUGUCGCAACCAGAUGCCGGAGCCCAGGAGCCAGACGCCACCGUCGACAAUGACUCCUACUACACUGGAGGUGCCUACUACUACGUGUCGGCCGCCACCGACGACUAGGAGUAGUUUAGGAGGAUCCCAGGCAGGAGGUCUGCGUCUCUUUCGAUCUGUAUCCCAGUUUGUGCUAGCCUUUUUAAGGAAAACUUGUUUACUUAUGUCUGUACUCAGAUAUUCUUGCUUCCGCUGACUCGUCUAUGAUCGAGCACUUGUAUUCGAGCCCUCGAGGCCCCUGGCUUGUAUUAUGAUGCUUGUAUGACUUAUUUAUGUUUUUAGAGUUGUGUUGUGAUAUCUUCCCAUGAGUCCCUGAUCUUGAUCGUACACGUUUGCGUGCAUGAUUAGUAUACGAUUGAAUCGGGGGUGUCACAAUAGGUGGCCUGACGUAGCUUUUUCAGGUCCAAAUUUCCAGCUGCCGAAAUUCUCCCUCUUUGUGUAUACCUUGCAUAUUAUGAGAGAAAAGGCAUUAGAAUUACUCCAAAUAGCAUUAUUAUGGAUAAAACAUCAUAAAUAACAGUAAGGAGACAUGAUGCAAAAUGGACGUAUCAAGGUGGUGUUCAUACCUUCUUGAGAAGCUGUCGUUGGUGUGAUACCGGGUGCCUCGACAUGAAGAAGAGUCUUCGGCCAAGGCAAGAACAAGCUCUUGCAUGCGCCAAUCCGUUUAGGGGUCUCCUCGUCAUCGACUGGUACCGGAGGAGGCAAAUCCUCGAAGCCCGCUUUGACACUGGCCACGUUAACCUUGAAGACGCCAUGGGGCAUCUCUCGGUUGUGGAACAUGCGGUCCUUCGGCUUCACAGUCAUUGCCUUUCCCACGGCCACCUUCUGGCCAUUGAUGUCGUACAGUAGGGUAUACGGGGUAUCGUCGGCCUACGAAGACAUGUCUACGACGUCAAACAUCUAAAAGGCAUCUGAAACAGAAGGCUAUAUACAUGCUGGUGAAAAGGGUAUGGCGCGUAAUUACCAUGAUGGCGUUGAGCUCAGCCAUAGACGAAGCCCCGCCGAGCAUGCUAGAGACGGAGGUCGGGCUACUAUGAAUAGGAGCGGGACCUUUUGCGGUUACUUGAGCAGGUGUUGGUGGUGUGAUGUUCAUCGAAUUGCUCCCGACGUAGCUGGGAAGGGGAAAGUCCGGUGGCCAUUUUUCUGGAUUGCUCUUUGACCAAUCAAUAAUUGCCAGAAUCAAGCUGGUAAUAAUUGAAGAUUGGAAGUGAGCCAUGACGUCAGCCACCGCUUCAUUGACCGCUGCAUUGACUACCCCGAUCAACUCUUCUUUGGUCUCAGCUUUGGUCUUAUUGACCGCAAUCUCGACCUUCUCGUCGAUGGUCUAUUGAGUAAGCAACCGUCUCUUCCUUCUUUCCUCUGGCUGCUCGUGGUAGCAUGUCUUCCACGAGGUGCCAUCUCCUAUGCCGUGCACACGUCUAUAGGACGGCGGUUUGUUCUCCGGACCUUUUUCAGUAUCUUCAGGGCCCGGUUGAAAGGGGUGUCCCACUUGGGCCUCGCCGAUGACUCUAACGACUCGUUGCUUUCGGCUGUCUUUUGGUGCUGCUCUUUCUGUAAAAGGAACGUGGAUGGUUUACUAAUGUGACAAAACUUGUAGUCGAAUUGAUUGGAAGCUAAUAUAAUAAGGUGGUACUAUAACAAUUACCAGAAGUCUUAUGAACUCCCUCGUGUUCGGGUCCGUGUAAAAGAUCUUAUUGAUGCGGUCCCACUUGUACUGGGCCCUGAUCCAGUCAUGCUCCAACGGGUCGGUGAACUCCGCCAAGGGGUCUGGGAUUCCGUGACUUUCAUGUUCGGUGUCCUCCUUGGCCCAUACGUGCCUCUUCCCCUCGUAACCACGACUUCCGAGGCGGUGGGGAGGCGUGUUCCUGGCCUGGAGCGCCUUCAUUUUCUUUGACCUUUGCUUGACUUCUUCUUUAGCGCAAGUCUUCUUGAAUUUUUCAAAGUCCUCUUCCUUUAGUGACGGAUUGUCAGCAUGAAUCUUGGACCACGGUUCAUUCUUCGCAAUCGCUUUUCCCACCCUAACUUUCCAGGCGGACAAGUCGUUGGUGAACGUCACCAUCGCCUUGUUGUUUAUCUUUGUCAUGGCGUCGUCGUCUGAUGGAGGUUUGCUUUGGUCCCGGCCGGGGAACAUGAACCUAUCGUGCAACUUCUUUAGGAGCAUGUGCUUCAUACGUGGUAUCUUCUUCAACUUCUCGUUGUUGGUGUUGGCGGUUUCCCUGAGGAUGCAUCCUAGUUGAUUGCCCCAGCACGGGUGCGCUUGCUCCGGCGCCGUUAGAUCUAAUUUCUCGGGGUGCAUCUUCGUGACCACAAUUUGUCCGACGCCGAGCUCGUUUGGUCUUCGUGUCCUCUUCUGCUUCGGUGCUUUACCGGCUACGACAACAUCGUUGCCGGUCUUAGGGGUGGUGCCGGUGCCGGUGUCGGCAUUGGUUUCGGGGUUGGUGCCAGCCGCCACCCUACACCCGCAACUGGUGUUCGUCCAGGUAAUCGAAAUAAUGAUUUGCUGCCUCGAGGGGGUCUUCUUCAAGGCGACCAGAACCCCCGACUUAGGUGUGGCUAGACAUGCUUUCUAUUCAAUAAUUGUAAAUAAAAGAUAUAAUGAAGAGAAAAAAGGGGCCUAUGUUUGGUCGGAAUGUUGAUUCAUUCCCCUUCCGACAAAAUCCCGGGCACUCCAUAGGUCCUAGUUUCUAGCACAAAUCACGGAAAUUUUCGGCAUGACCUUUGCUAAAAAGUGGACAUAUGGAGCUCCUGAAAAUUGCCGAAACGAAAAUGAAUCAACAUUCCAGCAAAACAUAGGCCACUCAGAUAUUCUUCGACAUUCAACCAACUUUGCAAAAUCAUAUAACAACAAUGACAUAUGAGCAUCACAGAAGCACUUAUAUAAAGCAAGUACACAUAGUGAAAUGACCUCACUAAACAUUGCAAGAUAGUGGUAUUUUCAAAAACCAAAAACCUUUGUAAAAUGACCUCACUAAAUAUUUGCUACCAUUUUUUAUUUAUUGCUAAAAAAGUCCACUGUUUUAAACUCGGUUGAAGCCACAUCAAAACCUUGUGAUAAAAGUAGCAAAAUAUCGAGCUUAAGUCUUGCUCAUCCUCGAGCAAGCAGCUAAGAAAUAAGAAGAAUGAAAUGGAGGUUGACAAAUGAGUGGAAAGGGUUUACAUGCUCGUGAAGAUAUAAUAUAUCAUUGAUAACAAAACCUGCAAUCUUAAUUAAGAGAAUAGUUGCAACAUUUGAACUUAAAAUUCUUGCCCUAAACCCUUAAAUUAUAUAUGCAUGCAUGCAAUUCUUAUUGCAUAUAUCUCAAAAUUCUUGCUUACUCUUGGGGUGCAUGCAACUAGCUGCUGCCUAUAACCAUACGAGGCUUUUUCUUCAAGGGCCACGUUCUUGCUCUUAGUUCUUGCAGCGGAGGGGGGACGAAUGGCGGCGCUUCUUAUAAACUUCAAAAAAGAUCAUGCAUAAUAAAGUUCAGAAAAGACUCAAUUACUUUCAAUGAAUAUUCCAAUCAUAAACCCACAAUUCAUCGGAUCCCAACAAACACAAUGCAAAAGAAGAUUACAUCAGAUAAAACUCCAAGAAGAUCGAGGAGAACAUUGUAUUGAAGAUCAAAGAGAGAGAAAAAACCAUCUAGCUACUAGCUAUGGACCCGUAGGUCUGUGAUGAACUAGUCACGCAUCAUCGGAAGACAGUAAGGAUGAAGUAGAAGCCCUUUGUGAUCAGUUCCACCUCCGGCAGAGAACCGAAAAAAGCCUCCAGAUGGGAUCACGGAAGAACAGAAGCUUGCGGCGGCGUAAAAACUGUUUCUGUUGGCUCUCUGUUGGUUUGGGAAUAUUUGGCAGUUUAUAGAGGUGCAAUUAUGUCAAACGGAGUUGCGUGGGAGUCACGAGCUCAGGGGGCGCACCUGAUGAGCUCGUGACUCUCCCGUAAGUCUUCUGGCCUCCUCCCGAGCCUUACAGGGUCCCUUCUGGUAAAAAAAAAUCACUGUAAAGUUUCAUCUUGUUUGGAUUUUGUUUGAUAUUGAUUUUUUCUGAAAAGUAAAAAAUAAGCAAAAAACAGGAACUGGCACUGGCACCACCGGGUUAAUAGGUUAGUCCCAAAAAUGAUAUAGAAUAGCAUAAAAAUGUAUAUAAAGCAUCCAAUAUUAAUAAUAUAAUAGCAUGAAACGAUCAAAAAUUAUAGAUACGUUGGAGACGUAUCAGAAUUCUUUUCUCUUUUGUGAUGUUACGGUGAAUAGGUAUGGAGAUGGGUGCAUGAGAAGGAAUGACCUUCGACGGUUCUUCUUCUUCGGAUCUAUUCUCCCUCUGUUUUGCAUGGUGUGGUGGCGGCUGCGUCUCUCUGAUGGUGUGCUCCCCUUCACUAAAGUUGUUCCUGUUGAGGUGGAGCUGGCGGCGGGUGGUAUGAUCACUGGUCCGAGUAGACGUGGUCUAGUGAUCUGAUUGUUCUGGUGCAUUUUUGUCCAACAGGAAAGUUGCCCCAUUUAUUUAGGUUCAAUUGAUGGGAUGUUGAUUGGUUUCCUUGUUCCAAAAGUAUAUUUGUUUUGCACAUGAAAGGGAAAACACGUUUUCCUCUUUCUCAAAGGGUUGGAGUCACAAAGACGCGAGAAAUAACAAAAACUUGGUUGAAGCCACAUCAAUCAAAAGCUUGUGACAAGAGUAGCAAAAUAUCGAGCCAUAAACUCCCCCACGCUUAAGUCUUGCUCAUCCUCGAGCAAGCAGCUAAGAAAUAAGAAGAAUGAAAGGGAGGUUGACAAAUGAGUGGAAAGGGUUUUCAUGCUCGUGAAGAUCAUUACGACAAAACCUGUAAUCUUAAUUAAGAGAAUAGUUACAACAUUUGAACUUAAUUCUUGCUCUAAAUAAAAUUAUGUAUGCAUGCAAUUCUUAUUGCAUAUGUCAAAAUUCUUGCUUGCUCUUGGGUUGCAUGCAUCCAGCUGCUACCUAUAACCAUAUGAGGUUUUUUCUUCAAGGGCCACGUUCUUGCUCUUAAUUCUUCUUCAAGCAAGUCUUGCGGAGUCCAUUUUUUUAUAAUCCUUUUUUCGAAGAAGAAAAAGGAAAAAAAAAUAUAUGAUCCUUUUUUCGAAGAAGAAGAAAAAAAAUGUCCCCACCGCCUCGGACGGACAGAAGCCCAUUUUACUACCAGCAUGGCCCGGCCUAGGCCUGUUUAUCCUCCCUCCAUACCAUCCAUAUCCAUACCAUAUAGUAAUAUCUUUCCGAUCCAAUCCAAUCCCAACCCUAGCAAACCAAACCAAACCAAACCAAAGCCAAGGAGAAAUCGGUUGCUCGAACCCUAUCCUCUCCUCUCCUCCCCGCAGCCGCCCAAAACCCUAGCGCCGGAUCUUUCUCCCCCCCUACCGACCGUCAAUCCAUCCAUGUGAGUCUCUCUCGGGCGAGAUCUGGUUGCUUGGUUGCUUGGUUUCUACCUAAGCUAAUCUAGGGUUUGAUUACUGAAUUCAGGAUGGGAGAGGCCAAGGAGAACGACGUGUACGAGGAGGAGCUGCUCGACUACGAGGAGGACGACGACAAGGCCCUCGACGCCUCCUCCAACGCCAACGCCAAGCCCGCCGCCGACGCCUCCCAGCCCAAGAAGGGCUACGUCGGCAUCCACAGCUCCGGAUUCCGCGACUUCCUCCUCAAGCCCGAGCUGCUCCGGGCCAUCCAGGACUGCGGAUUCGAGCACCCCUCCGAAGGCAAGCCCCCUCAUAUAUACUUUUUUUUUUCUCGACUUCAGCCGUCCAUUAAUUAAUUACUACUUGAAUAAAGAAAAUUUCACCUGCUGCGAAAAUCGACCAAAUUAAUAAUGUAAGCUCAAGCCAAACAAAUCUAACUGUUUCAAUAAUAGUGUAGAAAAUCAGGUUUCGACCCUAAUUCAUUUCGCCAUUUAGUCUAGGAAUAAUUAAUUACUUGUCUCUGUUAAAUAAAUAUAAAUUAACAGAUUAACAAGAGAUGCGUAAACUGCAACAUACCGACCAAGUUAAUUAAUUAAUAGGUGCUCAACAUAACAUGUUUACAAUAACAUACUUGUAACCUGUCAAUUUAAGUUAAGCUUUAAGCCAAGCUAACAGAUUCAAUAAUGUAGCAAAGUUUUUGGCCGGAAUCGGGCUUUUUUCACAACUACACUUCUGAUUGUGAAAUGGCAAUAUGCCAUUUACCUUAUUACUUUAGUGUGUUCGGCAACUAUUUCCUUCAGAUCCUGGCCACAUGAUCUCUAUUAGGCUACAUGUCUAAUUCAACUCAACUGCAUUUUUUGUUGUCGUUUGUUGUUUUGCUUGCUGUGUGAAUCUCAUGUGUAGUAUUUGCUAUGGUGUGAACUGCACUUUGGGUGCUAUGUUUCCUAUUUUCCUGUGCAUUUUAUCCAGUCAAAUUCUGGCCAAGUUUAAACACUUAAGCUUACACUUUCUGCUUUUUCAAACAUUGGUUUUGGAACUGGAUGUAUGGAGUAUGAACAAAGUCAACUGAACCAACUUUGCUAUUCUCAGCUUUACUUAGUCAACUUUGCUAUAUUACCUAGUCCAUCGUUUUUCAACUUUGUUGUUCUCAGCUUUAUUUAGCCAGCUUGUUGAUGAUAUUCUUUCGUUGCUGGUAUGUAUGCAGGUAUACUUUCUCCUGACAUUUCCCGUUGGAGGGAAAUAUGGUAAAACUUUCCAUUAACCCGGGACCCAGAAGCUUCACUUUUUACUCACUGGGGUGCUGCUCCGAUUUUAUUUGGUUCCUUCCUCCACAUCAGUGCAACAUGAGUGCAUCCCUCAAGCAAUCCUCGGAAUGGAUGUCAUCUGCCAAGCAAAAUCUGGGAUGGGGAAGACUGCUGUCUUUGUCCUGUCGUCUCUCCAGCAGAUCGAUCCUACUGCUGGUCAGGUGGCAGCGCUCGUAUUGUGCCACACCAGAGAGCUGGCUUACCAGGUGGGUUUAUGAAUAUAUGCUUUGUUCUAUUCCCACACAUUUUCUCCCUUGUUUGCUCAUUUGCCGCCCUUGUCUUGUGCAGAUUUGCAACGAGUUCGAGAGGUUCAGCAAAUUUCUGCCUGAAUUAAAGGUUGCUGUAUUCUAUGGAGGUGUUCACAUCAAGAAACAUCAGGAUUUGCUCAAGAACGACUGCCCCCACAUUGUUGUGGGCACACCUGGGAGGAUUCUAGCUCUAGCUAGAGACAAGGACCUCUCUUUGAAGAAUGUGAGGCAUUUCAUUCUUGACGAGUGUGACAAGAUGCUUGAGUCACUGGGUAAUUUGUCAUCCUUCACUUGCUGCUAUCAUAUCAUUAUGCCCUUGACUGGAUGACAAAUAUGUAUGCAUUCUGCAGACAUGCGGAGGGAUGUCCAGGAGAUUUUCAAGAUGACACCUCAUGAUAAGCAGGUCAUGAUGUUUUCGGCAACUCUCAGCAAGGAGAUCCGUCCCAUUUGCAAGAAAUUUAUGCAAGAUGUAAUGCCCCUGCCUAAUGUCUUAUCUCAAUUGCACAGUGCAUCAUAUUUAAGUCGUGUCCUCCACUGGUUAUCAGUUAUCAAUAGGUUUGUCCUUGUUUUUUGUAAUCUUACAUGUAUAGAGUUCUCUCGUCAAGUCGUUUUUUUCUUCUGUUUUCCAUUACUACCUUGCAUAGGGCAAUACCGUGGAAGCCAUUUAUGAGUCUUUCAAUUGGUUUGGGUAUCUGUCAGUAGCUGUGGUCAGUUUCUGUUGGGAACCAGUCUGGAGGUUAACUAUCUGGACUCUUAGUUUGCUGCACUUAGUCACGCACAUAUGGAGUUAGCUGGUGGAUGUGGAGUUUCAGUGGAGUUUAGCUGGUGGUGGUUCUGGUUCUCAUUUUCAAUGUUGCCAUAUGUCAGCCUGGAAUUGUCUGUGAUGCACUGUUGCAAUGGCUGAUGAACUUGAUUGGAACAAACAUGGUGUGCAACAGUGCAGAACUGAAGUUCCACGCGGGGGCAGCAUCUUCUGAAGAUGAAGGAAUUCAGAUACUUGGAAUGUACCUGUAGAUUGAUGCUGGAAUGCUAAUUUCUUUCAUCUACCAUUUGUUCCCUUACAGCCUAUGGAAAUUUAUGUUGAUGAUGAGGCAAAGUUGACCCUUCACGGUCUUGUUCAGGUAGCUUUUGUCGUUUUACACUGUUUUGCACGUUCAUUUCACUAGUUUUUGUUCAACUGUGUGAUUAUACUGUCUUGUUUUUGCAGCACUACAUAAAAUUGACAGAGUCAGAGAAGAACCGAAAAUUGAACGAUCUCUUGGAUGCUCUCGAUUUCAACCAAGUUGUGAUAUUUGUGAAGAGCGUUAGCAGGGCUGCAGAGCUGAACAAGUUGCUUUGUGAAUGCAACUUCCCUUCAAUCUGCAUCCAUUCUGGCAUGACCCAGGAAGAGAGGUAUAUAUAUAUGUGCUCUCUGCUUCAUGUUGUUGAAUUGCCAGUUGUUGUAGUAUGGUGGUCUUGUUGUUCUCUUGCUCAAAUUGUGUGUAAAUUUGUUGGUAGUUGUUUCUCCUGGUUGUUGUGCCUGUGUGGGAAGAAGCAUAUGGUUGCAUAUACAUAUAACCAUCUUUUCUAACCUAUGAAAUACGUAGUUGUGAAUUAUUUAUCAACUGGUGCUGCAGAUGAGAUGCUAUUUUGUGCUAUAUACUAAUAAUAGUAAUAAUGAUUACGGCACUUGGUUGUUAAUUUUGCAGGCUGACCCGAUACAAGAACUUCAAGGAAGGGCACAAGAGGAUUCUUGUGGCGACGGAUUUGGUUGGCAGAGGGAUCGACAUUGAGCGUGUCAACAUUGUGAUAAACUAUGACAUGCCUGAUUCAGCUGAUACCUACUUGCACAGGGUAAUACUCCAUGCAUGCGUGCAUGUUCCUUGCUUGGUUGGGAUGCUGCUGCUGCUCUAGGUAACCUAGAAGCUAACUUGGUGGUGAUGCAUGCAUGCAGGUUGGAAGGGCUGGGCGUUUUGGCACCAAGGGACUCGCCAUAACUUUUGUUUCGUCGGCCUCGGACUCGGACGUCCUUAACCAGGUUGGUCCAUCUCUGUUUUUGGAUUGCAUGAUUUUGAUCAAGUGGAGUGACAAGGAAGAUUGUUUUAUGAAUGAAUGAAGGUGCAAGAACGGUUUGAGGUGGACAUCAAGGAGCUGCCUGAGCAGAUUGACACUUCAACAUACAGUAAGUGGCGCAUAGAUAGCUGGUGGGUUGUUUGGAAUGUAUAAUCUGCUGUCUCUGAUUUGUUUGUUUCUCCAUGGCAUGAUAUUGCAGUGCCGUCGUAGACCCGCGCCGACAUUGCAAGGAGGACGGAAGGAGAAGAUGGAAUCCUUGAAUGUUUUGCUUGAAGUGAUGCUGUUUUUUGCCUGCCCUGCCCUGCCCUGCUGCCAAGGGAGGGAGGCAGCAGGAGCAGCAGCUGUACCCUAUUUAGUCUGUUAUUUAGUCUGAGAGAUGUUGGUUUGUUACUUAGGCCAAAUGAUGAAAUGAUUUUACUUGUGCUAGAAUUGGAUGGAUGGAUGAAUGUAUGAUGCAUGGUUUGCUUUGAAAUUUUAAAAAUUAUGAUUAUUACCGUAGUUUUCAAACCAUCAUUAUAUCGUCAUAUUAUUAUUUAUCAUAUACAAUGGUACAAUGUUCCCAGAUUAUAUUUUUGUUUCUUGUUUUCCAUCCU
rnacentral:lncRNA from 1 species